rnacentral:lncRNA from 1 species
CUAAGCUUUGAUACCAAUUGUGACGCCCCCAAAAUAGGUAUACAUCACCCAUCUUGAGUCGCCAGAUACAUGGUACUCAAUACAAAUACAAACUAAUAAUACAGCUGUCGUGUAAAAUACAAGAAAAUAUAAUCUUAGAGUUUUAAUAAGAAUAUUAUCAUCUAGACAAUAUCCACACUCAAUGGAGUCCUCAUUACAUUUAUUGUCACACUAUUUAACAGAAUAGUGAGGACUACUAAUGCUAUCAUCUGGACCGUUACUUCGUUCUCCGACUAGUCCCGGCUACGUUUUCAUUUCCUGAAGAGAACAGUGAAAGAAAGGGUGAGCUCAACUAGCCUAGUAAGAAAUAUUUUGACUAAGAUAAUAUAGAAUAAAUUAUCGUUAGCCUUCAACAGUGUUAAACUGAUACAAUAUAACAAACAUCAAGUUUAACUACAACGGAACAAGCAAUCCAUUAAAAAUAUAUAUAUAUAUAUAUAUAUAUAUAUAUAUAUAUUAUAAUAAGUUUUGUUUUAUAUGAAAAAUAGAAUAUAUUAUAUUUUAUUAUGCAUAAUGUUUGCAUAGUGGUUGCAUAGUAUUUGCAUAGUAACUCAGAAAAUUAAAAUUUUCACGUGAAUUCGUCGGUGCGCGCCCGUGAACUCUUCCCCUACUGUGCAUUCAAAUAGUAUCCUUUCCAUUCUCCUAUAAAUAGGAUGUUUAGUUAGAAUUGAAAAUCACACUAGAAUUAGAGAAUUCUUCUUCUAUAAUAUUGAGCGUAUUUCUUUAUAGUUUAAGUAAGCUUUGACUGUAGAAAAUAGUGAAAGUUUUCUUCAAGAAUAUAUCCGAUAUACCAGUCAGAAUUACUCUUUUUUUGAUGUAAGGGGUAUUAUUUAUUUCAUAUUCGCUUACGAUAUUAUUUUUCGUAUUCGUAAGAAAUUUUAUUUCGUUCAAUAUUCGCAAGAAAUAUUAUCUUCAUCUAAUAUUCGUAAGGAAUAUUAUCUUCGUUCAAUAUUCGUAAGGAAUAUUAUUUUUCGUUCAACAGUUGUAAGGGAUAUUAUUUUUUGUAAGAGCCCAACUUUUAUGAAUAAAGAUUAAUUUUUUCUCAAAAUAUAUUAUUGAAUAUAAUGGUGUGGAUUGAUAUAAUAUUAUAGUUGUGGGUAAUAUUUAAAAUUUUUGCAAAGUAUGCAAGUUGUUAUAAAAUAUUCGAUUGGUCGGGGAAUAUUCGUUUUAGCAGGAAAUAUUCGUACGACGGCACAAUCAUUGGUGGACUCCACAACGGAAGUAUUGUCGUAGUUAGAAAAUGACAGAAAUAUCUUUUUAUAAAAAUAAUGACGAAAGUUUUACUGUUAAACUGUUGAACUACCCGGUGGUAAAAGUACAAUAAUACGCGUGGUUGCAUAGUAACACACGGUAUUGAUUAUUAAUGCUUACGUAAGAAAUAUUAUGACUAAGAUAAUGCAGAAUAAAUUAUCAUUAGCCUUCAACAAUGUUAAACUGAUAGAAUAUAAUAGACAACAAGUUUAACUGCAGCGGAACAAGCAAUCCAUUAGAAGAGUCAAGUAGAGCAUAAAAUCUACUAUCUUCUAUGGUUUAAAAAGUUUUUCAUCAACUUUAUCGCUGAGACUCAGCUUAAUAAAUAAAAUCGAAUCAUCCCUGCACCACGGCCAAGGAUAUUCAUGUAAUCAUCAAUGGUCAUGACUAUACCGAAUAAUCCCUGGUCAUAAUCACACCAACAACUGUCCAUCAAUGAACUAUAGGCCAAUGAGGAUUUUUACCACAUCAUUCGUCACAUUACGGUCAUGAUUAUACCGAAUAAUCCCUGGUCAUAAUCAUACCAAGUCUAUCUAUGCACGUAAGCCAAAGAUGACUUUCAUCAUAAUACAAGCAUGAGGAUGAUGACAAUGACAUAAUAAUUCAAUAAAACAAUUUCAAGGAUAAAUUUUAAAGAUUUAUAAUUUUAAUUUAUCCAGAAAUCAAUAAAGUCCAAAUUGUCAACAUGAUACUCCUUUGUGGAGUAAAAUUCAAGAAUGCUCAGAAGAAUAUUUUCAUGAAAAGAUACUGAAUGAAGCGUAAAUAUCAAGGAUAUUCCACUAAUUUCAUGGAGUAUAGAAGCCAACACUUUAACCAACUGAGAAAAAUAGAAUAUAUGAAAUCGCAAAUGAAUUUUUGCCCGCCAUGCGGUAAUCCACGUAGACAUAUCAUUUCCACAAUUUAAUAAGGAAUGAAUAGGAAGGAUCAUUCACCAUGCAUGCGGUAAUCCACAUAGACAGGUUAUUCCAACAGAAUGAUAAAGAAUAAAAGAAUAGAAGAAUUCACCAGGCGUGCGUAAUUCAGACAGACAGGUUAUUCCAACAGAAUAAUAAAGAAAUGGAACCAGGUCAUGCGUAACCCGCACAGACAGGAUAUUCCAACAGAAUAAUAAAGAAUGGAACCAGGUCAUACGUAAUCCGCAUAGACAGGAUAUUCCAACAGAAUAAUAAAGAUUGGAAUAACAACAGAAUUCACCAGGCAUGCGAUAGACCGCACAGACAGGUUAUUCCAACAGAAUAAUAAAGAAUGGAAUAACAGAAGAAUUUCACCAUGUAUGUGGUACUUCGCAUAGACAAGUUAUUCCAAUAUAAUAAUAAAGAAUGGAAUAACAACCCUUACGAGUAUUGAAAGAAAAUAACUCUCUUUAUGAAUACGAAAGAAUAAUACCCCUUACCUUAGAAGAAGACAGGAUACUGGAAUAGUGAGGUAGCAGACUUCUCUUCUUCUUUCUCUCUAUAAUUUCUCUCUAUAAUAAUUGCUCUAUAGCUUUAGUGAAUUGGUGAGAAAUGAAGGAAGAAUGAGCUUCUAUUUAUAGAAAAAUAUAGUUUCGAUAAUUACACGUUUUGGGGCUCAAAAUAUUAUAGUAUAAUACCUUCCUCUUUUUCUUCAUUUUUAAUUUAGUCCUGCAAGUAUUAUCAAACUUGCACCACCUCCCCUAAUAGUAAAUAAUGUGAAUCAAUAGUUCAAUGAUGUGAAUCAAUAGUUAUAAUCAUGUGAAAAUACAAAUUACAGUAUAGUACCUUCAACUAUACCUCCAUUUUUAACUUAGUCAUGCAAGUAUUAUUAAUCUUGCACCACCUCCCCUAAUAGUACAAGAAUGUGAAUCAAUAGUACACACAUAUGAACAAAUAGUUAUAAUCAUGUGAGUUAAUAGCAAUUAAUUACUCAUUUAUCCGGUUAAUUACUCGAUUGAUCAAUAUAACCUCCAGACAUCAAUUAUUAUCGAAAUAAAUGUCGAUUUUCACUAACACUAAUAAUUCCAACACAAUAGAACUAUCCAAUUCAUAUUUAAUCAACAUGAACUUAUUCAUUAUUAAUAUUAUAAUUCAUAAUUUUUAACAACCAGGUUGUUCCCAGGAAAGAGGGGGCUUUUCGAUAAGGAUUUUCCUUAUUAGCGCGCAAUUAGGUGACCAAACCUCUCUUUAACAGAACUUCUAGACAUUGUCAAUAUUGCAAAUAAUAAUAUGAAUAACUUUGUCGUCUCAAUUAUUGAUUUAAUAAUAUAUAUUAUGCAGAUGAUACUGUGACAAUAAUUAAAUCAAUAAUAUGAGAGAUAUGAUGCAGCAAUUACUGUAGCAAUAAUUGAGUAUAACUGAGUGACUUCUCAAGUAAGCAUCAAUAAUCAAUACCGUGUGCUACUAUGCAACCACGCGUAUUACUGUACUUUUACUACCGGGUAGUUCAACAGUUUUAACGGUAACACUUUCACCGUUAUUUUUAUAAAAAGAUAAUUUUGUCAUUUUCUAACUACGACAAUACUUUCGUUGUGGGUUCCACCAAUGAUUGUGCCGUCGUACGAAUAUUCCCUGUUAAAACGAAUAUUCUCUGACCAAUCGAAUAUUAUAUAACCACUUGCUAUUUUUGCAAAAUUUGUAAAUAUUACCCACAACUAUAACAUUAUAUCAAAUCCACACCAUAAUAUUCAAAAAUAUAUUUCAAGAAAAUUAUUCUUUAUUCAUAAAAGUUGGGGUCUUACAACUAUACUCAAAAUCAGAUUACUCCCUCUCACUCUCUAUAGCAACUAAGCAAGUAAUUCUCAGCAACAUAGCACAUGAAGUAGAGUGCUUAAUUUAUAGAAAACUUACUAACCAUUCCAAGCCAUUGUCCAAGAAAUUAAACCAAGAGAUGGAGGGCGAAUUCAUUGGGUAAUUGAGAGUUGGUACAAUAGUGGCCAACCACCCCCCAUCACCCACACCCUUCUUCAUCAUGGCUAGCUAUUGGGAAGUUUGAGAGAUGAAGGAAUAGGUAGACUAGGCUAAUGGUUCUUCACGUGUGGAAGAAAAGUGACUCACAAAAUAGGACAAGCCAAAUCUCAACAUUUGAUAGCUAUCUAAUGCCACACACUAUAUGUUUAAUACACAUAUAUGUAUACUUAGGUUUUAAAUCUAAUUGGGUGCAUACAUGGGUUUAAAUGAUAUGGCAAUAUUAUUUUAGCAAUUUAGGGUAUUAAAUAUAAUCCAUGUACAUUUUGAUAAUGCCAAAUUAGGAUUUAAUUGAGUAGUGACACACCACAUUAUCAUAACCUUUAUUAUAUUAUUUAUUCACAUAGUCAUAAGAUAUGUAUUAAUGCACUAUAUAUACACAUUACAUGGUCACAUAGACAUCAUUUAUAGAACUUUCACACUUCAUAUUAUGUAUAUAGUUAGCUACUAUACAUAUACAUUUAAUUAUCACAUGCUUGCAUAUAGCAAUUAAUUAUUUAUCUUACUAAUUAAUUAUAGUGGUGAAAAUGAGUCGAAUAUUAGCGAACACUCUAAUGCUCAGAUUCGGCUCAACUCGAAAAAAUUGAGCUCAGAUUCGACUCAAAUUCGAUAAAGAAUUUCUAGUUUUACGCCAGAUUCGAGUCGGAUCAUUACUUGGACCUACUCGGCUCGUAAGUACUCGACUUGUUUAUAAAAAAGUUACUCACGAGCCUUCAAAUCGAGUUUCAAAUAUGAACCAUUUUGCUUAAUACUGAACCACUACAUACUAAAUUGAUUAUUGAACAAAUGUUUUAUAUAUAAGUCUUUUACUUUUAUUUAUGUAAAGAAUUUACAAAGAAUUUAAUACGAAUUGACAAUCAAUUCACUGAUUUAUUCAAAUAUAAGCUUACACAAUUUAAUACUACACUUUAUAAAUUAUAAAGAUUGAUACAAAUAUCACAUAUUUAGUUUAUUAGUAUUGAUCAGACUAGUAUUCGAGUAUGAUCCAUCGAGCAGGUAUCGAGUAUGGUUCGAGAAAAAAUGAAAUACUCGAACCCUUAUCUGAGCGAAUACUGGUAUAAUCGAAUUCAACUCGUGUAUCAUUAAACAGAAAAUGAGUAUGGAUCAUAUUCGACUCGAAUCAAUUUCGAAUUCGAGCUUUGGAUCAUAUUUUCGAACCGAUCUCGAGUCGAGUAUCGAGCUACUCUGCUCGGCUAACACCCCUAAUUAAUUAAUAAUAAUAUUAACUAAUCCCUUUCUUAUUAAUCAAUGAUAUUAUUAAUCUUUAUAACAAUUAAGAAUCUUGUUAUAUUUAUAAACACGUUGCUCAUUGCUAAUAAUAGUCACAUACUAUUAAUCACCGUUAAUAUUUAACCGGUAUUCUUUAAUAACAAAUAACAAUUAAUAUAGAUUAAUUGUUCCCUUAACAAUUCUUUCAUUAAUUAAUAUAAACAUUAAUAUUUCCCAUCACCGUGCCACACAAGGCUUUCAACGAGUUCAUCACAAAUUCCAUAUAUUCUCAAUUAUUCAAUUAUUCAAUAUAAUUGAGUUAACCCAUCUUGUAACACAAAAUCAUUUAUAUUCAAAUAAAUAUUCAUUUUCAUUAAUAUAUUCAUUUAAUAAGGCGUGGAAAUUCUCGGGUAUUACACUCCACCUGCAGUAUGAACAAGAGUCUCUCUCAUUUGGUUUUGCAUGAAUUCUAGAAAACUCCUAAAUGUACCAUCGUUCGUCAUUUGGUCGGUGUUGUUUACAGGAGGAUUAUUGUCUUCCUGAUGCACAUUAUCCUGGUUAUUAAUUAUCAGUAACUCAAUAGUCUCAUGUGCUUCGUUGCUUAUCUCAACAUUUUUAGAUCUCAUUUUUAAACACUGCCACAAAACAAGGGUUAAUUGACAUGCAACAUAUUAUCCCUAUAUUCUGACCGACCAAUUAAAUAACAAUUAAGCUUAUGUAGGUCAUACUAGUGAAGGAUUUACUCGUCUCACCCCUCCUAUUUCUAGCCUCACAUCUCAGCCAGGGAUCAUAUGUGACGACCCCAAAACAGGUAUACAUCACCCAUCUUGGGUCGCCAGAUACAUGGUACAGAAUACAACUACAACUUAAAUAUACAACUGUUGUGUAGAAUACGACAAAACAUAGCUGAGAGUUUUAACACGGAUGUAAGACCCCGAAUUUUAUGAAAUGAAAUUAUUCAAUUUUCUUAUAAUUAUUAUGUUAUUUAGUAAAUGGUUAAAUUGAUAAAUGUUAAAUUUAAGGGUGAUAUGUGAAAAUUUUACAACGUAAGCAAAUUGAUAUAAAAUAUUCGUUGUGUCGGGGAAUAUUCGUUUGGUCGGGAAUAUUCUUUUUGUCGAAGAAAAUUCGUACGACUAUACAAUCAUUGGUGGACCCUAUUACGGAAUAACUGUCGGAUAUAGAAAGCGACAAAAAUAUCUUUUUAUAAAAAUAACGACGAAAGUUUUACCGUUAAAAUACCCGGUGGUAAAAGUACAGUUAUACGCGUGGUUGCAUAGUAGCACACGGUAUUAUACAGUAUAUUUGAUUAUUGAUGCUUACGUAAGAAGCCACUCAGUUUACUCAAUUAUUGGUACAGUAAUUGUUGCAUAGUAUCUCACGUUAUUUGAUUCAAUUAUUGUCACAGUAUCAUCUGUAUAAUAUUUUAUAUUAUUAAAUCAAUAAUUGAGACAACAAAGUUAUUCAUAUUAUUAUUUGCAAUAUUGAUGAUGUCUAGAAAGUUCUGUCGAGGAGAGGUUUGGUCACCUAAUUACGCGUCAAUAGGGAGAAAUCCUUAUUGAAAAGCCCCCCCUUUCCUGGGAAUGAUCUGGUUGUUAAAUAUUGUGAGUUAUAAUAUUAAUGAUGAAUAAUUGUUGAAGUAUUAAGAAUGUGUUUAUUAAAGAUAAGUGAAUUACAAAAGUUAGAGGGGAAUAAUGCAAACUUGAAAAACUUUAGGGGUACUAAAGUGUAAUAAGUUAAAUCAAUCGGGACCGUCGAUGGUGGUUUUUUAAUAGUAAAUCAAUCUGGACUGUCGAUGGUGAUUUUAAUAGUAAAUCAAUCUGGACCAUCGAUGGUGAUUUUAAAAGUAAAUCAAUCUGGACCGUCGGUUGUGGUUUUAAUAGUAAUCAAUAUGGACCGUCCGUUCUAAUAGUAAAUUAAUCUGGACCGUUCAUGAAUUAGUUACUAUUUAGUCAUUUCUCCUAUAAAUAGAAGCUUAAUUUUUCUUUCAUUCUCACCAAUUUACUAAGACUCACAAGAGAAACUAUAGAGAGAAAAACUAUAGAGAGCAAGAAGAAGAAUAUUCUGCUACUUCACUAUUGCAGUAUCCAGUCUUCAACUAAGAUAAGGGGUAUUAUUUCUUUCGUAUUCAUAAGGAAUACUAUUUUUCGUAUUCAUCCUUUAAUAUGUCGGAAUAACCAGUCUACGCGAAUUACGUACCGUAUGACAGGUGAAAAUCCAUUUACAGUUUUGUAUGUUAUUUCUUUUUAUAUUCUUAAAUCUAAACUUACUAUGGCAAGUAUUGCUUCUAUAAUCCUUGAAAUUAGUGGAAUAUCCUUGAGUUUUGCACUUCAUCCAGUAUCGUUUCAUUGUGAAUAUUGAUAUGAACUCUCUUAUUAAAUAUUAGUAUUUUCACUGGGGUACUAUUCACCCGGUUACUAUUCACUCAAAUAUUAUUCUCUCGGAUAUUCGGGGCACUUUUCAUGCCGGGGUACUAUUCACCCGAUUACUAUUCACUAAAAUAUUAUUCACUCGGGUAUUCAGGGCACUUUUCAUGCUGGGGUACUAUUCACGAGUUACUAUUCACUCAAAUAUUAUUCACUCGGGUAUUCGGGGAACUUUUCAUGUCGGGAUACUAUUCACGGGGUACUAUUCUUGAAGUACUAUUCACGGGGUACUAUUCACCAAAAAAUUUAUUUCUUUACUAUCCAAAUUAUUUUUGAUACAUGGUUAUUAUUCUUGAAUUUUACUCCACAAAGCAGUAUCAUGUUGACAAUUUGGACAUUAUUAAAUUCUAGAUAAAUUAAAUUAUAAAUCUUUAAAAUUUAUCCUUUGCUUUCAUUUAAUUGAAUUCUUAUAUCAUUGUCAUCAUCCUUAUGCUUAUAUUGUAAUGAAAGACAUCUUUGGCUUACGUGCAUAGAUGGACUAUUGAUUGGUAUGAUUAUGACAAGAGAUUAUUCGGUAUAAUCAUGACCCAUAAUGUUACAAAUGAUGUGGUAAAAAAUCCUCAUUGCCCUGUAGUGCAUUGAUGGACAAUUACUGGUAUGAUUAUGACCAGGGAUUAUUCGGUAUAGUCAUGACCAUUGAUGAUUACAUGAAUAUCCUUGGCCCGAAGUGCAAGGAUGAUUUGAUGAUGUGGUUUAUUUAUUAAGUUGAGUCUCAGCGAUAAAGUUGAUGAAAAACUUUUUAAAUUAUAGAAGAUAGUAGAUAUCAUGCUCUACUUGACUCUUCUAAUCGAUUACUUGUUCCGCUGUAGUUAAACUUGUUGUCUAUUAUAUUUUAUCAGUUUAACAUUGUUUAAGGCUAACGAUAACUUAUUUUGCAUUAUCUUAGUCAUAAUAUUUCUUACUGGGCUAGUUGAGCUCACCCUUUUACUUUCAUUGUUCUCUUCAGGAAAUGAGAACAUAGCCGGGACUAGUCGGGGAACGGAGUGAUGGUCCGAGAUGGUGCAUUAAUAGUCCUCACUAUUCUAUGAAAUAGUGUGAUAAUAAUUGUAAUAAGGACUCUAUUGAGUGUGGAUAUUGUCUAGAUGAUAAUAUUUGUUUUAAAUUCUCAACUUAGGUUUUAUCGUAUGUUACACGACAGUUGUAUAAUUAAGUUGUAUUUGAAUUUUGUACCAUGUAUUUGGCGACCCAAGAUAGGUGAUGUAUACCUAUUUUGGGGGCGUCACAUUUUUGUUCAGUAUUCGUAAGAUAUAAUAUUUUCUUCCAUACUCUGUAGUAUGUAAGUAAUAUUAUUUCAUUUCAAAUUUUGAAUUUUACACUCAUUUUGUUAAAGUUUUGGCUUCUAUACUCCAUGAAAUUAGUAGAAUAUCCUUAAAAUUUGCGCUUCAUCUAGUAUAUUUUCAUGAAAAUAUUAUUCUAAGCAUUCUUGAUAAGUUUUAACUUUUUCAUGUUGAAGUACUAUUCAUGGGGUACUAUUCCUGAAUUACCAUUCACGGGGGUACUAUUCACUCGGGUACUAUUCAUCCGGGGUACUAUUCAUGAUAAAAAUUAAUUUCUUUUCGGUCCAAAUCAUUUUUGAUACAAUAUUAUUCUUGAAUUUACUCCGCAAAGCAGUAUAAUAUUGACAAUUUGGACAUUAUUGAAUUCUGGAUAAAUUAAAUUGUUAAAGUCUUUAAUAUUUAUCCUUGAUCUCGUUUGAUUGAAUUUUUAUAUCAUUGUCAUCAUCCUCAUGCUUAUAUUAUGAUGAAAGUCAUAUGUGGCCGUAGUGCAUAGAUGGACUUGGUAUGAUUAUGACCAAGGAUUAUUCGGUAUAAUCAUAUCCGUAAUGUUACAAAUGAUGUGGUAAAAGUCAUCAUUGGCCCGUAGUGCAUUGAUGAACAGUUUUUGGUAUGAUCAUGACCACAGGUUCUCUUCAGCCAAGGGUACAAAGAUGAAUUAUUUUAUGGCGUGAUCAUGAUCGUUGAUGAAAACAUGAAUAUUCUUGGCCCGUAGUGCAUGGAUAAUUCGUGGUCGUGAUACUAAUGAAUAUCUUUGGCCCGUAGAGCAUGGAUAAUUCAGUGAUGUGAAUUAUUUAUUAAGCUGAGUCUCAGCGAUAAAAUUGAUGAUAAACUUUUUAAAUCAUAGAAGUUAAUAGAUAUCAUGCUCUACUUGACUCUUUUAAUGGAUUGCUUAUUCCUCUGCAGUUGUUGAUCUAAAACUUGUUGUCUAUUAUAUUCUAUAAGUUGUUAUACUGUUGAAGACUAAGGAUAAUUUAUUCUGCAUUAUCUUAGUCAUAAUAUUUCUUAUUGGGCUAGUUGAGCUCACCCUUUUAUUUCAUUGUUCUCUUCAAAAAAUGAGAAUAUAGCUGGGACUAGUUGGGGAAUGGAUUUUCGGUCCAGAUGGUUGUUUUAGUAGUCCUCACUAUUCUGUGAAAUAGUGUGAUAAUAAUUAUAAUAAGAUUGAAUUUGAGUGUGGAUAUUGUCUAGAAGAUAAUAUUCGUGUUAAAAUUCUCAGCUAUGUUUUGUCGUAUUUUACACGACAGUUGUAUAAUUAAGUUGUAAUUGUAUUCUGUACCACGUAUCUGGCGACCCAAGAUGGGUGAUGUAUACCUAUUUUGGGGGCGUCACAGUUGGUAUCAAAACUUAGGGAUAUGAUGUGAGAUCCUGAAUUUUAUGAAAUGAAAGUAUUCAAUUUUCCUAUAAUUAUUAUUCUAUUUAGUAAAUGGUUUAAUUGAUAAAAGAUUAAAGUUAAGGAUGAUCUGCGAAAAUUUUUCAAAGUAAGUAAGUUUUCAUCGGUGAUAAAAGUACAGUAAUAUGCGUGGUUGCAUAGUAGCACACAGUAUUGUACAGUAUCUUUGAUUAUUGAUGCUUACGUGAGAAGUCACUCAGUUUUAUUUAAUUAUUGUCACAAUAUUUUAUAUUAUUAAAUCAAUAAUUGAGACGACAAAGUUAUUCAUAUUAUUAUUUGCAAUAUUGACGAUGUCUAGAAAGUUCUGUCGAGAAAAGGGGUUUGGUCACCUAAUUGCACGCCAAUAGGGAGAAAUCCUUAUCGGAAAGCCCCCUCUUUCUUGGGAAUGAUCUGGUUUUUAAAUAUUAUGAAUUAUAAUAUUAAUGAUGAAUGUUAUUAAAAAUCAAAUUUGAGUUCAGAGUUGAAUUUGGAGACGCGGACGAGAUAUUUGAAGCUGAAGCGAUAAAAUUAGUAAAAAAAGACUAUAAACACAAAAUUUGACGGGGUUGACUUUUUGGUCAAAAGUCAACAGUUUACUUUAAAAAAAAUAAUAAUCAAACUUCAAAAAUUUUAAAGAUGAAAUUGUAAAUAAAAAUAUUUCCAUAUUGUGUUCUAGACAAUAUCUAAACUCAAAUUCAAUCCUCAUUACAAUUAUUAUCACACUAUUUUAUAGAAUAGUAAGGACUACUAUAGCAACCAUCUUGGACCAUCACUCCAUUCCCUGACUAGUCCUAGCUAUAUUUUCAUUUCCUGAAGAGAACAAUGAAAGAAAAGGGUGAGCUCAACUAGCCCAGUAAUGAAUAUUAUGACUAAGAUAAUGUAGAAUAAAUUAUCGUUAGCCUUCAACAGUAUAACAACUGAUAGAAUACAAUAGACAACAAGUUUUAGAUCAACAACUGCAGUGGAAUAAGCAAUCCAUUAGAAGAGUCAGGUAGAACAUGAUAUCUACUAUCUUUUAUGAUUUAAAAGUUUAUCAUCAAUUUUAUUGCUGAGACUCAGCUUAAUAAAUAAUCCACAUCACUGAAUUAUCCAUGCACUAUGGGUCAAGGAUAUUCAUUAGUAUCAGGACCACGAAUUAUCCAUGCACUACGGGCCACGGAUAUUCGUGUUUUCACCAAUGGUCAUGAACAUGCCAAACAAUAAUUCAUCUUUGCACCCUUGGCCGAAGAGAACGCAUGGUCAUGAUCAUACCAACAACUUUCCACCAAUGUACUAUGGGCCAACGAGGACUUUUACCACAUCAUUUGUAACAUUACAGGUCAUGAUUACACCAAAUAAUCCCUGGUCAUAAUCAUACCAAUCAACAAUUCAUCUUUUCACCCUUGGCCGAAGAUGACUUUCAUCACAAUAUAAGCAUGAGGAUGAUGACUGAUAAAAGCAUUAAUCAAACAAAAUUAAGAAUAAAUAUUAAAGACUUUAAAUUUAUCCAAAGUUGAAAAAUAUCCAAAUUGUCAACAUGAUACUGCUUUGUGGAGUAAAGUUUAAGAAUAAUAUUCAUAUCUCAAAAAUAAUUUUGGACAGAAAAGAAAUCAUUUUUUGUCAUAAAUAGUACCCCGGGUGAAUAGUAUCUGAGUGAAUAGUGCCCGUGAAUAGUACUUCAGGAAUAGUACCCCAACAUAAAAAGUGUCCCGGAUACCCGAGUGAAUAGUAACCCGUGAAUAGUACCCUAAUAUAAAAAGUACCUCGAAUCCCCGAGUGAAUAGUAACCAAGUAAAUAGUAACUCGUGUAUAGUACCCCGGGUGAAAAUAUUGAUAUUUAAUAAGAAAGUUCAGAUCAAUAUUCUAAUGAAACGAUACUGGAUGAAGCGCAAAACUCAAGUAUAUUCCACUAAUUUCAGGGAUUAUAGAGGCAAUACUUACCAUAAUAAGUUUAGAUUUAAGAAUAUGAAAAGAAAUAACAUACGAAACUGCAAAUGGAUUUUCACCUGUCAUGUGGUACGUAAUCCGCGUAGAUAGGUUAUUCUGAUAUAUUAAAGGAUGAAUACGAAUAAUAGUAUUCCUUAUGAAUACGAAAGAAAUAAUACCCCAUACCAAACGAAAAGAACAUCCCUUACCAAACAAAAAUAACAUCCUUUACCAAACGAAAAUAACAUCCCUUACGAAUACAACAAAUAAUAUCUCUUACCUUAAUAGAAGACUGGAUACUGCAAUAGUGAAGUAGCAGAAUACUCUUCUUCUUGUUCUCUAUAGUUUCUCUCUCUAUAGUUUCUCUUGUGAGUCUUAGUGAAUUGGUGAGAAUGAAAGAAGAAUUAAGCUUCUAUUUAUAGAAGAAUGGACUAAAUAGUAACUAAUUCAUAGAUGGUCCAGAUUGAUUUACUAUUAAAACGGACGGUCCAUAUUGAUUACUAUUAAAACCACAACCGACGAUCCAUAUUGAUUUACUAUUUAAAUCACAACCGACGGUCUAGAUUGAUUUACUAUUAAACCACCACCGACGGUCCAGAUUGAUUUACUAUUAAAACCACCACCGACAGUCCAUAUUGAUUUACUAUUACAACCACCACCUACGGACUAGUUUGAUUUACUAUUAAAACCACCACCGACAUUCCAGAUUGAUUUAACCUAUUACACUUUAGUACCCCUAAAGUUUUCCAUGUUUGCAUUAUUCCCCUCUAACUUUUGUAAUUCACUUAUCUUUAAUAAACACAUUCUUAAUACAUCAACAAUUAUUCAUCAUUAAUAUUAGAACUCACAAUAUUUAACAACUAAAUCAUUCCCAGGAAAGAGGGGGCUUUCCGAUAAGGAUUUCUCCCUAUUAACGCGCAAUUAGGUGACCAAACCUCUCCUCGACAGAACUUUCUAGACAUCGUCAAUAUUGCAAAUAAUAAUAUGAAUAACUUUGUUGUCUCAAUUAUUGAUUUAAUAAUAUAAAAUAUUAUACAGAUGAUACUGUGACAAUAAUUGAAUCAAAUAACGUGAGAUACUAUGCAACAAUUACUGUACCAAUAAUUGAGUAAACUGAGUGGCUUCUUACGUAAGCAUCAAUAAUCAAAUAUACUGUAUAAUACCGUGUGCUACUAUGCAACCACGCGUAUUACUGUACUUUUACCACCGGGUAUUUCAACGGUAAAACUUUCGUCGUUAUUUUUAUAAAAAGAUAUUUUUGUCGCUUUCUAUAUCCGACAGUUAUUCCGUUAUGGGGUCCACCAAUGAUUGUGUAGUCGUACGGAUAUUCUUCGACAAAAAGAAUAUUCCCGACCAAACGAAUAUUCCCCGACACAACGAAUAUUUUAUAUCAAUUUGCUUACGUUGUAAAAUUUUCACAUAUCACCCUUAAAUUUAACAUUUAUCAAUUUAACCAUUUACUAAAUAACAUAAUAAUUAUAAGAAAAUUGAAUACUUUCAUUUCAUAAAAUUUGGGGUCUUACAUCUGUGUUAAAACUCUCAGCUAUCUUUUGUCGUAUUCUACACGACGGUUGUAUAUUUAAGUUGUAGUUGUAUUCUGUACCAUGUAUUUGGUGACCCAAGAUGGGUGAUGUAUACCUGUUUUGGGGUCGUCACAUAUGAUCCCUGGCUGAGAUGUGAGACUAGAACUUGGAGGGGUGAGACGAGUAAAUCCUUCACUAGUAUGACCUACCUAAGCUUAAUUGUUAUUUAAUUGGUCGGUCAGAAUAUAAGGAUAAUAUGUUGCAUGUCAAUUAACCCUUGUUUUGUGGCAGUGUUUGAAAAUGACAUCUGAAAAUGUUGAGAUAAACAACGAAGCACAUGAGACUAUUGAGUUACUGAUAAUCAAUAACCAGGAUAAUGUGCAUCAGGAAGACAAUAAUCCUCCUGUAAACAACACCGACCAAAUGACGAACGAUGGUACGUUUAGGAGUUUUCUAGAAUUCAUGCAAAACCAAACGAGAGAGACUCUUGUUCAUAAUGCAGGUGGAGUGUACUACCCGAGAAUUUCCACGUCUUAUUAAAUGAAUAUAUUAAUGAAAAUGAAUAUUUAUUUGAAUAUAAAUGAUUUUGUGUUACAAGAUGAGUUAACUCAAUUAUAUUGAAUAAUUGAAUAAUUGAGAAUAUAUGGAAUUUGUGAUGAACUCGUUGAAAGCCUUGUGUGGCACGGUGAUGGGAAAUAUUAAUGUUUAUAUUAAUUAAUGAAAGAAUUGUUAAGGGAACAAUUAAUCUAUAUUAAUUGUUAUUUGUUAUUAAAGAAUACCGGUUAAAUAUUAAUGGUGAUUAAUAGUAUGUGACUAUUAUUAGCAAUGAGCAACAUGUUUAUAAAUAUAACAAGAUUCUUAAUUAUUAUAAAGAUUAAUAAUGUCAUUGAUUAAUAAGAAAGGGAUUAGUUAUUAUUAUUAUUAAUUAAUUAGGAGUGUUAGCCGAGCAGAGUAGCUCGAUACUCGACUCGAGAUCGGUUCGAAAAUAUGAUCCAAAGCUUGAAUUCAAAAUUGAUUCGAGUCGAAUAUGAUCCAUACUCAUUUUCUGUUUAAUGAUACACGAGUUGAAUUCGAGUAUACCAGUAUUCGCUCAGAUUAGGGUUCGAGUAUUUCAUUUUUUCUCGAACCAUACUCGAUACCUGCUCGAUGGAUCAUAUUCGAAUACUAGUCUGAUCAAUACUAAUAAACUAAAUAUGUGAUAUUUGUAUCAAUCUUUAUAAUUUAUAAAGUGUAGUAUUAAAUUGUGUAAGCUUAUAUUUGAAUAAAUCAGUGAAUUGAUUGUCAAUUCGUAUUAAAUUCUUUGUAAAUUCUUUACAUAAAUAAAAGUAAAAGACUUAUAUAUAAAACAUUUGUUCAAUAAUCAAUUUAGUAUGUAGUGGUUCAGUAUUAAGCGAAAUGGUUCAUAUUUGAAACUCGAUUUGAAGGCUCGUGAGUAACUUGUUUUGUAAACGAGUCGAGUACUUACGAGCCGAGUAGGUCCGAGUAAUGAUCCGACUCGAAUCUGGCGCAAAACUAGAAAUUCUUUAUCAAAUUCGAGUCGAAUCCAAGCUCAAUUUUUUUGAGUUGAGCCGAAUCUGAGCAUUAGUAGCUACCUAUAUGAAUAAUAUGAAGUGUGAAAGUUCUACAAAUGAUGUCUAUGUGACUAUGUAAUGUGUAUAUAUAGUGCAUUAAUACAUAUCUUAUGACUAUGUGAAUAAAUAAUAUAAUAAAGGUUAUGAUAAUGUGGUGUGUCACUACUUAAUUAAAUCCUAAUUUGGCAUUAUCAAAAUGUACAUGGAUUAUAUUUAAUACCCUAAAUUGUUAAAAUAAUAUUGCCAUAUCAUUUAAACCCAUGUAUGCACCCAAUUAGAUUUAAAACCUAAGUAUACAUAUAUGUGUAUUAAACAUAUAGUGUGUGGCAUUAGAUAGCUAUCAAAUGUUGAGAUUUGGCUUGUCCCAUUUUGUGAGUCACUUUUCUUCCACACGUGAAGAACCAUUGGCCUAGGCUACCUAUUCCUUCAUCUCUCAAACUUCCCAAUAGCUAGCCAUGAUGAAAAAGGGUGUGGGUGAUGGGGGGUGGUUGGCCACUAUUGUACCAACUCUCAAUUACCCAAUGAAUUCGCCCUCCAUCUCUUGGUUUAAUUUCUUGGACAAUGGCUUGGCAUGGUUAGUAAGUUUUCUAUAAAUUAAGCACUCUACUUCAUGUGCUAUGUUGCUGAGAAUUACUUGCUUAGUUGCUAUACAGAGUGAGAGGGAGUAAUCUGAUUUUGAGUAAAGUUGUAAGACCCCAACUUUUAUGAAUAAAGAAUAAUUUUCUCUAAAUAUAUUUUUGAAUAUUAUGGUGUGGAUUUGAUAUAAUGUUAUAGUUGUGGGUAAUAUUUACAAAUUUUACAAAGUAAUCCAGUGGUUAUAUAAUAUUUGAUUGGUCGGGGAAUAUUCGUUUUAACAGGAAAUAUUCGUACGACGGCACAAUCAUUGGUGGACCCCACAACGGAAGUAUUGUCGUAGUUAGAAAACGACAGAAUUAUCUUUUUAUAAAAAUAACGGCGAAAGUGUUACCGUUAAAACUGUUGAACUACCCGGUAGUAAAAGUACAGUAAUACGCGUGGUUGCAUAGUAGCACACGGUAUUGAUUAUUGAUGCUUACGUGAGAAGUCACUCAGUUAUACUCAAUUAUUGCUACAGUAAUUGCUGCAUCAUAUCUCUCAUAUUAUUGAUUNNNNNNNNNNNNNNNNNNNNNNNNNNNNNNNNNNNNNNNNNNNNNNNNNNNNNNNNNNNNNNNNNNNNNNNNNNNNNNNNNNNNNNNNNNNNNNNNNNNNNNNNNNNNNNNNNNNNNNNNNNNNNNNNNNNNNNNNNNNNNNNNNNNNNNNNNNNNNNNNNNNNNNNNNNNNNNNNNNNNNNNNNNNNNNNNNNNNNNNNNNNNNNNNNNNNNNNNNNNNNNNNNNNNNNNNNNNNNNNNNNNNNNNNNNNNNNNNNNNNNNNNNNNNNNNNNNNNNNNNNNNNNNNNNNNNNNNNNNNNNNNNNNNNNNNNNNNNNNNNNNNNNNNNNNNNNNNNNNNNNNNNNNNNNNNNNNNNNNNNNNNNNNNNNNNNNNNNNNNNNNNNNNNNNNNNNNNNNNNNNNNNNNNNNNNNNNNNNNNNNNNNNNNNNNNNNNNNNNNNNUUACUGGGCUAGUUGAGCUCACCCUUUCUUUCACUGUUCUCUUCAGGAAAUGAGAACGUAGCCGGGACUAGUCGGGGAACGGAGUGACGGUCUAGAUGAUAGCAUUAGUAGUCCUCACUAUUCUGUUAAAUAGUGUGACAAUAAAUGUAAUGAAGAAUCCAUUGAGUGUGGAUAUUGUCUAGAUGACAAUAUUCUUAUUAAAACUCUUAGAUUACGUUUUGUCGUAUUUUACACGACUAUUGUAUAAUUAAGUUGUAUUCGAAUUUUGUACCAUGUAUUUGGCGACUCAAGAUGGGUGAUGUAUACCUGUUUUGGGGGCGUCAUAGUUGGUAUCAAAGCUUAGGGAUAUGAUCCCUGGCUGAGAUGUGAGACAAGAACUAGGAGGAGAGAGACGGGGAAUUCCUUCGCUAGUAUGACCUACCUAAGUUUAUUUGGUAUUUAAUUGGUCGUUCAGAGUAUAAGGAUAAUAAAAUAUGAUAUGUUAAUUAACCUUUGUUUUGUGACAGUAUUUAAAAAUGGCAUCCGAAAUGUUGAGAUAAGCAAUGAAGCACAUGAGACCGUUGAGUCACCACAGAUUAAUACCCAAGAUAAUGUGCAACAGGAGGACAAUAAUCCUCAGGUAAACAAUAACGAUCAAAUGAUGAACGAUGGGAUGUUCAGAGGUUUUAUGCAAUUCAUGUAACAUCAGGCGAGGGUGGCUCCUGUCCAAAAUGGAGGUGGAAACACUGACAACUCUCGGACGGUCACCGCUAAGCAGUUCAAGGAGUUGGGACCACCAGAGUUUUUUGGAAAGCCAAAACCACUUAAGGCGGAGACAUGGAUAAAGUAGAUCAACAAGAUAUUUGAUGUCUUGGAAUGCUCUGAGGAGCAAAAGGUUCCCUUUGCCACCUUCAUGUUGCGAGCAGAGGAAGAUUACUGGUGGGAAUCUGUAAAGCGUACUCAACCUGUCGCACUCAAAAUGUCUUGGGAGAAGUUCCAAGAGUUGUUCAACGACAAGUACUUUCCUGAAAGUAUUCGUCAUAUGAAGGAGGUAGAGUUCAUCAAGCUUGAGCAAAAUAAUAUGACCAUGACGCAGUACGAAGCUAAGUUUGCCGAGUUGUCUCAGUUUGCGUCCCACUUGGUUGAUAAUGAGGAGAGAAUGACGCGGAUGUUUCUAAGAGGUUUAAAACCCGAGAUACGUCAAUACCUAAUUUCUCACAAACUGUGUUUGUAUUCAGAUGUUGUGAAUAGGGCUCAGUUAUUGGAGCGCGAUAAUGAGUCAACUCACCCAAGAGAGAGCAGUCGACAAGUCGAUAACACCAACGGUAGCAGUCAUCGAAGCGGUGACAACAAGCGUGGAGGGAAUCAAUAUGCCAGAAAUGGUAAUCACUUCGGUAGUGAUCAUGGCCAUGACAAUAAGAGUGGACAUUUCAAGAAGAAGAGAUUCAACAAUGAUGGAAAGACGUCAGCACCAGCACCUGUUGUUAAGGAAGGAGAACGACCGCCGGUCGUAUGUUACAAAUGUGGAGGGGAAGGACACAUCAGUCCAAACUGCGGGUUGUAGUCCAAAGCAUGUUACAAUUGUGGAAAAGAAGGUCACCUAGCCCGAUUUUGUCAUGCACCAAAGUCAAGUCCAGCUGGGAUGGAGGCAUCAAAGGGUGUCCCAGACAAGACAAAACCAGGAGUUCAAGGGAGAGCGUUUGUCGUAACCUCCCAAAAAGCGAGGAAUCCGAACGAGGUGAUCACGGGUAAGCUAAGCAUAAACUCUAGUGAAGUUUAUACUUUAUUUGAUACCGGUUCUACCCAUUAUUUCAUUUCUCCUACUUGUGCUCAACGUUUAAAUUUGACUCCGAAAAAAUUAUACUUUGACUUAUCUGUUGAAACUCCGUUGGGAGAAACCUUCAUUACAUCCACUGUUUAUAAGUCUUGUUUGGUUCAAAUCAGUACCCUCACAUUACCUGUAGAUCCUAUUUCCUUAAAAAUACUUGCAUUGAUGUGAUUUUAGGGAUUGAUUGGUUAAUUACUCAUCAUGCAAAAAUUGAUUAUUUUCGUAAGGUUGUUAGCUUUCAUAUUCCUAACCAACCUAUUAUGCGAAUUCAAGCAACCAAACCACUAAAAUCAAUCGCUGUCAUAUCAAGUCAUAAAGCUAUUCGUUUUAUUAAAAAACGGAUGUCAAGCUUUUUUAGCCCAUUUCACGGAUUUAAAUAAAAAUACGUCAGAUUUGAAUGAUAUUUCUAUUGUUAAUAAAUUUCCUGAGGUAUCCCCUAAAGAAAUUCUUGUCUUACCCCCAGAGCAUGAAAUUAAAUUUUGUAUCGACCUUAAAUCCGAUACAAAACCCAUUUCCAAAGCCCCAUAUCGAAUGACUCCUAUUGAACUUCAGGAUUUAAAAACCCAACUACAGGAAUUGUUAGACAUCGGUUUUAUUCGUCCUAGUACGUCUCCUUGGGGUGCUCCUGUUCUAUUCGUGAAGAAGAAAGAUGGAAGUAUGCAACUUUGUAUUGAUUAUCAGGAGUUGAAUCAUGUCACCAUCAAAAAUAGGUACCCGUUGCCUCGCAUUGAUGACCUGUUUGACCAGUUGUAAGGAGCCAAAUUCUUUUCAAAGAUUGAUCUUCGUUCCCGAUAUCACCAGUUGAAGAUUAAAACUGAUAACAUUCCAAAGACUACUUUCAGAACUCGGUACGGGCAUUAUGAAUUCCUAGUCAUGUCUUUUGGAUUGAAUAAUGCUCCUGCUGCCUUCAUGGACAUGAUGAACUGAGUAUUCAAGGAAUAUUUGGAUCACUUUGUGGUCGUCUUUAUUGAUGACAUCCUCAUAUACUCCAAAACCCGUGAAGACCAUAAGCAACACUUGAGGCUGAUACUCCAAAAGCUUCGUGAAAAUAAGAUAUAUGCCAAGUUGAAGAAUUACGAGUUCUGGCUUGAGGAAUUUGCAUUCCUUGGGCACGUAAUAUCAAAUCAUGGAAUAUCUGUUGACACGGCAAAGAUUGAAGAAAUUCAAAGCUGGGAGCAACCUAAGUCAGUGACCGAAGUACGUAGCUUUCUCUGCUUAGCUGGUUAUUAUCGAAGAUUCGUAGAAGGGUUUUCUCGAAUCGUUACUCCAUUAACUCAGCUGACUUUAGAAGAUACAAAAUUCUGUUGGAGUGAGGAAUGUGAAAAGAGUUUUCAAGAACUCAAGAUAAGACUCAUUUCAGCACCUAUUCUGACAAUACCAUCUGGCUUGGAGGGAUUUGUCAUCUACAGUGAUGCUUCAGGCAAAGGGUUAGGAUGUGUUCUUAUGUAACAUGGGAAAGUCAUAGCCUAUGCCUCGCGACAACUCAAGGAAUAUGGGAGGAAUUAUCCUACUCAUGAUCUAGAGCUGGCAGCAGUCAUUUUUGCGUUUAAGAUUUGGAGGCAUUACCUGUAUGGAGAGAAGGUGGAGAUCUAUACGGAUCAUAAAAGCCUCAAAUAUUUCUUCACUCAAAAGGAACUCAACAUGCGGCAAUGACGAUAGCUUGAGUUGUUGAAAGCUUAUGAUCAUACCAUCCUGGAAAAACGAACGUAGUAGCUGACGCAUUGAGUAGAAGAUCAUAUGCGGGCACGAGUGCAAUAUUGUCAAUGCAAAGGCCCAUUUUGUAUGACUUGGAAAGGAUGGAAAUAGAGUUAAAGACUCCAGGGACCCAUGUGAUGAUGGCGAAUAUACGAGUGGAACCGACUUUAAUCGAUAAAGUUAAAGCUGCUCAAGCUACAAACCUGAAGCUGAUGCGUAUGAGGAAGAAAGUGCAAGAAGGUGCAAUUUCAGAAGCAAGAAUCGAUGAAGAAGGAAUACUUCGAGUCAACUCCAGACUUUGUGUUCCUAACGAUUCUGAUUUAAAGUAUAAAAUCAUGAUGGAGGCGCACAACACACCGUUUGCAAUCCAUCCUGGGAGUACCAAAAUGUAUCGUGAUCUUCGUCAUACAUUUUGGUGGAGCAAUAUGAAGAGAGAGAUAGCGCUGUUUAUCUCAAGGUGUCUAACUUGUCAACGAGUCAAGGCGGAGCAUCAAGUACCAAAAGGUCCAUUGCAACCACUUGAAAUUCCAGAAUGGAAGUGGGAGCACAUUACCAUGGAUUUCGUUACUGGUCUUCCCAAGGUUUCUCAAGGCAUAGAUGCAAUUUGGGUCAUUGUUGAUAGAUUGACCAAGUCUGCUCAUUUCUUACCAAUACGAGAAACUUAUACACUUGAACGUCUUGCUCGUAUGUACAUAAACGAGAUUGUAAGACUGCAUGGUAUGCCAGUAUCCAUAGUUUCUGAUCGAGACCCAAGAUUCACUUCACGAUUUUGGGUUAGUUUGCAAAAAGCUAUGGGCACGGAUUUACGAUUUAGUUCGGCAUAUCAUCCUCAGACGGACGGACAAUCAGAGAGGACUAUUCAAACUCUUGAAGAUUUAUUAAGACUCUGUGUCCUUGACUUCAAGGGAAGUUGGGACAAGUUCUUACCAUUGGUGGAGUUUUCCUACAACAACAGUUAUCAAGCAAGUAUUGGCAUGGCUCCAUUUGAGGCGUUGUAUGGAAGAAAGUGUCGUUCUCCAGUAUGCUGGGAUGAGGUGGGUGAAGCAACGUUGUUGGGACCGGAGUUGGUACGUAUGACUACGGAAAAGAUUCAAACGAUCCGACAACGUAUAAAAACCUCACAAGAUCGACAAAAGAGUUAUGCUGAUCUUCAUCGAAAGGACGUGGAAUUCAAUAUUGGAGAUCAUGUGUUGUUACGUGUUGCUCCAUGGAAAGGAGUUACGAGAUUUGGAAAGAGAGGAAAGCUCAAUCCUCGAUUCAUUGGCCCAUUUUUAAUCCUCGAUCGAGUAGGAACUGUGGCCUAUAGACUCGCCUUACCGCCAAGUAUGUCUCGUGUUCAUAACGUUUUUCACAUAUCUAUGUUACGUAAAUAUGUGAAAGACCCGAACCACAUUAUUGAAUUAGAACCAGACGAGAUAGAGGAAGAUUUAACGUAUGAAGAGUUACCUGUUAAAAUCUUGGAUAAGAAGGAUCAUAUUCUACGCUCCAAGGUUAUACCUCAAGUCAAAGUUUUGUGGAGAAACCACGAUGUGGAAGAAAUGACCUGGGAGUUAGAAUCUGAGAUGAAGUCAAGAUAUCCUCACCUCUUCGAUAUACCAGGUACGUACCCUAAUUUCGAGGACGAAAUUUCAUAAGAAGGGGAGGUUGUAAGACCCCAACUUUUAUGAAUAAAGAAUAAUUUUCUCGAAAUAUAUUUUUGAAUAUUAUGGUGUGGAUUUGAUAUAAUGUUAUAGUUGUGGGUAAUAUUUACAAAUUUUGCAAAGUAAGCAAGUGGUUAUAUAAUAUUCGAUUGGUCGGGGAAUAUUCGUUUUAACAGGGAAUAUUCGUACGACGGCACAAUCAUUGGUGGACCCCACAACGGAAGUAUUGUCGUAGUUAGAAAACGACAGAAUUAUCUUUUUAUAAAAAUAACGGCGAAAGUGUUACCGUUAAAACUGUUGAACUACCCGGUAGUAAAAGUACAGUAAUACGCGUGGUUGCAUAGUAGCACACGGUAUUGAUUAUUGAUGCUUACGUGAGAAGUCACUCAGUUAUACUCAAUUAUUGCUACAGUAAUUGCUGCAUCAUAUCUCUCAUAUUAUUGAUUCAAUUAUUGUCACAGUAUCAUCUGCAUAAUAUGUUAUAUUAUUAAAUCAAUAAUUGAGACGACAAAGUUAUUCAUAUUAUUAUUUGCAAUAUUGACAAUGUCUAGAAGUUCUGUCAAGGAGAGGUUUGGUCACCUAAUUGCGCGCCAAUAAGGAGAAAUCCUUAUCGGAAAGCCCCCUCUUUCCUGGGAACGACCUGGUUGUUAAAUAUUGUGAGUUAUAAUAUUAAUGAUGAAUAAGUUCGUGUUGAUUAAAGAUGAAAUUGAUAGUUCCAUUGUGUUGGAAUUAUUAGUGUUAGUGGAAAUCGACAUUUAUUUCGAUAAUAAUUGAUGUCUGGAGGUUAUAUUGACCAAUCGGGUAAUUAAUCGGAUAAAUGAGCAAUUAAUUGCUAUUAAUUCACAUGAUUAUAACUAUUUGUUCACAUGUGUGUACUAUUGAUUCACAUUCUUGUACUAUUAGGGGAGUUGGUGCAAGAUUGAUAAUACUUGCAUGACUAAGUUAAAAAUGGAGGUAUAGAUGGAGGUACUAUACUGUAAUUCGUAUUUUCACAUGAUUAUAACUAUUGAUUCACAUGAUUGAACUAUUGAUUCACAUUAUUUACUAUUAGGGGAGGUGGUGCAAGUUUGAUAAUACUUGCAGGACUAAAUUAAAAAUGAAGAAAAAGAGGAAGGUAUUAUACUGUAAUAUUUUGAGCCCCAAAACGUGCAAUUAUCGAAACUAUAUUUUCCUAUAAAUAGAAGCUCAUUCCUUCAUUAUUUUUCACCAAUUCAUUAAAGCUAUAGAGCAAUUAUUAUAGAGAGAAAUUAUAGAGAGAAAGAAGAAGAGAAAUCUGCUACCUCACUAUUCCAGUAUCCAGUCUUCUUCUAAGGUAAGGGGUGUUAUUCUUUUGUAUUCAUGAAGAGAGUUAUUUUCUUUCAAUACUCGUAAGGGUUGUUAUUCCAUUCUUUUGGAAUAACUUGUCUAUGCGAAGUGCCGCAUACAUGGUGAAAUUCUUCUGUUAUUCCAUUCUUUAUUAUUCUGUUGGAAUAACCUGUCUGUGCGGUCUAUCGCAUGCCUGGUGAAUUUUGUUGUUAUUCCACUCUUUAUUAUUCUGUUGGAAUAUCCUGUCUAUGCGGAUUACGCAUGACCUGGUUCCAUUCUUUAUUAUUCUGUUGGAAUAACCUGUUUGUUCGGAUUAUGCACGCCUGAUGAAUUCUUUUGUUAUUUCAUUCUUUAUCAUUCUAUUGGAAUAACCUGUCUAUGUGGAUUAUCGCAUGCAUGGUGAAUGAUCCUUCGUAUUCAUUCCUUAUUAAAUUGUGGAAAUAAUAUGUUUACGUGGAUUACCGCAUUGCGGGCAAAAAUCCAUUUGCGGUUUCAUAUAUUCUAUUUUACUCAGCUGGUUAAAGUGUUGGCUUCUAUACUCCAUGAAAUUAGUGGAAUAUCCUUAAUAUUUGCGCUUCAUCCAGUAUCUUUUUAUGGAAAUAUUCUUCUGAGCAUUCUUGAAUUUUACUCCACAAAGAAGUAUCAUGUUGACAAUUUGGACGUUAUUGAUUUCUAGGUAAAUUAAAAUUAUAGAUCUUUAAAAUUUAUCCUUGAACUUGUUUUAUUGAAUUAUUAUGUCAUUGUCAUCAUCCUCAUGCUAAUAUUGUGAUGAAAGUCAUCUUUGGCUUACGUGCAUAGAUGGACUUGGUAUGAUUAUGAACAUGGAUUAUUUGGUAUAAUCAUGACCGUAAUAUGACGAAUGAUGUGGUAAAAGUCCUCGUUGGCCUGUAGUUCAUUGAUGGAUAAUUGUUGGUGUGAUUAUGACCAGGGAUUAUUCAGUAUAGUCAUGACCAUUGAUGAUUACAUGAAUAUCCUUGGCUGUGAUGCAGGGAUGAUUCAAUUUUAUUUAUUAAGCUGAGUCUCAGCGAUAAAGUUGUUGAAAAACUUUUUAAAUCAUAGAAGAUAGUAGAUUUUAUGCUCUACUUGACUCUUCUAAUGGAUUGCUUGUUCCGCUGCAGUUAAACUUGUUGUCUAUUAUAUUUUAUCAGUUUAACAUUGUUGAAGGCUAAUGAUAAUUUAUUCUGCAUUAUCUUAGUCAUAAUAUUUCUUACUGGGCUAGUUGAGCUCACCCUUUCUUUCACUGUUCUCUUCAGGAAAUGAGAACGUAGCCGGGACUAGUCGGGGAACGGAGUGACGGUCUAGAUGAUAGCAUUAGUAGUCCUCACUAUUCUGUUAAAUAGUGUGACAAUAAAUGUAAUGAGGACUCCAUUGAGUGUGGAUAUUGUCUAGAUGACAAUAUUCUUAUUAAAACUCUUAGAUUAUGUUUUGUCGUAUUUUACACGAUUGUUGUAUAUUUAAGUUGUAUUUGAAUUUUGUACCAUGUAUUUGGCGACUCAAGAUGGGUGAUGUAUACCUGUUUUGUGGGUGUCACAUAAGUCAUGUUCAAUUCAAAGCAAAGGUAUAAAUUCUACUUUUGUGUUCUUGAGCUUAAGUGUUAAAUUCUUCAAAUUCUCCUGCAAUCUCUGAUAAUUGAUGUAAAAUAGCAUGCCAUUGUGUUAUCUGAGCUUGUAUAUAUGUUUAGGAGCAAUAUAGAUGAUCUGGGUACAGGUUUGAUGUUGGUUAUGUUGGAACUCUGCAGAAACUGAGUCUUUAUUUUUCGUUCUGAUCGAAGUGGCGCGGCCGCGCCACUUCUAUAGUACAUAACCGCGCGGCCGCACUGGCUGCCAGUCAUGUGUACUGAUUUUUGUGAUCCUGUCUUGGUCUGAGUAUGCUAUGCUAAUUAGUUCAUGCAUAUAAAUAACCUGCACAUGUGGACUGAGAUUGUUAUGCAUAUAGUAAGCCAUGAUUAGUUGAUUCUAGUUUGAUUAUUCAAAGAGGAGGACUUAAAUAGUUGGAAACUAGUUUGAUAAAUAUGGUAUAAAACAUGUUCUGACUUUUUGUGCCAAUGUAACAAGUUCUGAUAUACAUUAAAAUGUGAUCAAUAUGUUAGUUUACAUUGUUGGUAAGGGUAUGUUGUAGUCAAGCAUGAAUUAAAAAGAAAAAUACAAAUGAAAGGCUAUAUUAGCUAUAUGUACAUAAGUUAUGCAUAAACUAAGUUUUAAACUUCAAAACAUACCUAUGUGACCUAUUAUAUGAUUAUGGAAACAUGUUAUGAAAUAUGUGGACCUACCUUGAAUUCUUAAGUAAGUUUUACUAAUGAAGAUACGAACUUUGAACGUGAAUAUUAACACACUACUUUGAGAGUUAGAAUCUGAUACUUGUGAACAUGUUUGAUGAUACUCUUAAACUCAUUCAUGAAUCAUAUAUAUAUAUAUAUAAUAUAUAAUAUAUAUAUAUAUAUAUAUAUAUAUAUAUAUAUAUAUAUCAUCAUACUUAGGUAUCAUAAUUCAAGUGAAGCAUAAAUGAAGCAUAUUUUCAAAACAAAACGAUGUUAUUACACAUAUGUGAUAUGUAUACUCACAAGUAUGUCUAAUAUGAGUUAUAUGACUACCUUAUAUGUUAAGAAUCAAGCAUGUUAGACUUUGUGGUUUCAUAACCUUGAAUGGCCUUAACUUGUUGAGAUGUCCAACUUAGAACCAUAUUAUGCAAGAAGGGACCUAGAUUGAACUUGAAAGAUACGAAAGAACCCUUGACAUGUUAAUAUAUGUUAUGUAUGUAAGGAUGGGCAAGCUAGGCCAAGCAAGUGAUUGCUCAGCCCUGGUUUGAACUAGGAGCCGCGCGUCUCCUUAGUACAAAUCAGACGCGAUCACACCCUUCUGCAGACUUGGAAAGUGACUUCUAUGAUUUCUAAAGUAUGUAGCAUGCUAGUAAAACUUCAUUAUGCUUCUUUCUGUCCAUGACACACUAACAUAGGUAGCCUUGCAUGUUAACACCUAUCUUAGCUUGAAUUGACAAAGUGUUUUAAAAUAAUGAAGUCUAACAGUAGUUCCGAGCUACGUAGUAACAUAAGUCUGAGAUUUCAUGAUUGAGUCAUGUGUUUACACUUGAUCUAUAUAUCAGGAUUGUUUAUCGAAUAUGUUUAACUAAUGGGCAUCCUAUACUUGUAAUACACUAUCAAUAGGAUUCGAAAGUGUUGAUUUCUUAAUAUCGAUAAACUACGCUUAAGGCAAGUAUCCAAACCCUACUUUUAUUGUGCAAGUAUCCUAAAUCCUUGCUUUACUUUAUUCAACGAAUAUCGUAAGCUUACCUCUUUGAAUGGAAGUUAUCCUACUUAUUCUUUCAAUUGAACUAGUAUGUUUAAACUCUUGUGAAAACUAUUAUUCAUGUUGAACUUGGUAUUGCUCUUGAUUAUUAUGAAAGGGUCUAUGUUAUUGAUUCGGCUAGACUAUAUGCAUAUUUAUAAAACUGUCCAAACCAAUUGAUUGGUGCAAAAAUCUGGAAAAUUAAGUUGAACAACCCUUAUGGUAAGGGGAGUGUAUGUUGUUGGAAACCCCAACACAUGAGUGUUUUAUUACUGUGCUGUUAUGCAUAACUUAGAGUAUUGUAGACUGAUCAUCUAUAGUACUUGAUUAUUUUGGGUUAUCAGUUUAAUAUUGAUAAUUCUAGUAGAUGUUCAAUAGUCCUUAGCGACUGCUCAGUAUGAAUUGUUUUAUCCAGUUGGAUACAUUGAUAGCUCUUAAAUUCAUAUAUAUCUGUUGAUUCAUAUUAAACUAUCAUUUCAUAUUCCAAAGAUUUGAUUCAAGAAAACGUUGAUAUUCAUUGUUCAUGAUAUUAUUCUAAUACCCUGAACUAUCUUGGAGGCUAUAGUGUGAUAUUUCAACCUGGUAAUAUUAUAUUCUUCACCUUUGUUGAAUAUUACUUGCUGGGUAAUUUGUGCUCAUCCUUGCUUAUUUAAAACCUUUCAGUUAAGGCGGAACAGGGAAGUGUCUCUGGAAAAGACAAGGGCAAGGGCAAGGCUACCGACUAGCUUGUUCCUUUAUGUUAAAAUUUUCUAUGUUGUGUUCAAACUAUUUUCAGAUAAUGUUUAAGCUUAAUUAGAAUUAUGUAAUAAGUCUUUAUUUGAUAUUAUUAUGUAAUCUAUUAAGUACUGUAGGUUGCGAGACUUGGGGAAAUAAUUAUAAUAAAUCAUUAUAUAUUAUUCUAAAUUAGAUCUUCCACUGUGAAUGUGUGAUUUUAGCUAUUAUUGUAUUACUAUGAGCACGUGAAGAACCGAAUUCGAGUGACCAAGUGGUGGUCCGAAUUUGGUGUCGUCACAUGGAGUCAAUGGCAACUCACGGCUGGUCACUGCUAAACAGUUCAAGGAGCUAGGACCGCUAGAGUUUUUGGGAAAACCAGAACCACUUAAGGCAGAGAUGUGGAUUAAGCAGAUCACUAAGAUAUUUGAUGUCUUGGAAUUCUCAGAGGAGCAAAAGGUUCCCUUUUCCACCUUCAUGUUGCGAGGAAAGGCAGAUCAUUGGUGGGAAUCUGUAAAACGUACUCAACCUACCACACUAAAGAUGUCUUGGGAGAAGUUCCAAGAAUUGGUCAACGACAAGUACUUUCCCGAAAGUAUUCGUCACAUGAAGGAGGUAAAAUUUAUCAAGCUGGAGCAAAACAAUUUGAUCGUGUCGCAGUAAGAUGCUAAGUUUGCCUAGUUAUCCUGGUUUGUAUCCCAUUUAGUAGAUAAUGAGGAGCGUAUGACGCGAAUAUUUCUAAGAGGUUUGAAACCCGAAAUACUUUAAUACUUCAUUUCUCACAAAUUUUAUUUGUAUUCAAAUGUUGUGAAUAGGGUUCAGUUAUUAGAACGCGAUUUUGAGUCAGCUCAACCAAAAGGCAACGACCAACAAAACGAUAAUAAUCAUACCGGUGGCAACGACCAUUGAAACAAUGAUAACCAUCGUGGGGAAAAUUAUUAUGCUAAGAAUGGUAACCACUUCGGUGGUAAUCAUGGCCAAGAUAAUAGAAGUGGAAAUUUCAAGAAGAGAAAGUUCAAUAAAGAUGGAAAGACAGCAGCAUCAGUACCCGUUUCCAAGGAAGAAGAAUGACCACCAGUCGUAUGUUACAAAUGCGGACAGGAGGGACACAUCCGUCCAAACUAUACGCAACAACCCAAAGCGUGUUUCAAUUACAGAAUAGAAGGUCACCUAGCUCAAUUUUGUUAUGUAGUGAAGUCAAGUCCAGCUGGGAUGGUGACGCCAAUGGAUGUCCCAGACAAGUCAAAGCCGAUAAUUUAAGUGAAAGCGUUUGUCGAGGAACCCAAACAAAGUUAUCACGGGUAAGUUAAUCAUAAACUCUUGCGAAGUCUUUACCUUGUUCGAUAUCGGUUCUACCCACUCUUUUAUUUCUCCUACUUGCGCUCAACGUUUAAUUUUGACCCCAGAGAAGUUAGACUUUGACUUAUCAGUUAAAACUCCGUUGGGAGAAACCUUCAUUACAUCCACUAUUUAUAAGUCUUAUUUGAUUCAAAUCGGUACCCUCACAUUACCUGUCGAUCUUAUCUCUUUGAAAAUACUUGUCUUUGAUGUAAUUUUAGGAAUCGAAUGGUUAACUACUUAUCAUGCUAAAAAUGAUUGUUUUCGUAAGGUUGUUAGCCUUCAUAACCAACCUGUUAUGCGAAUUCAAGUAACUAAACCACUAAAGUCAAUCACUAUCAUAUCAAGCCAUAAGUAAAGAGCCUCGAGCCUUUUGCUGGUGACUUCCAAGUCUUGGAAUGCACCGAAGCCAGGCUUUUCGUAGGGGACGCUGUGAAUAACGGUGGCAAGUUGAUAGGUAUCAAUGUGACGUGUUAUCCAAGUCUUGGAUGAGAGUCACUGUUUUGAAUGAUAUUUCUAUCGUUAAUAAAUUUCCUGAUGUAUUCCUGAAGACAUCUUGGCCUACUCUAGAGCGUGAAAUCAAAUUUUGUAUUGACCCCAGUAUAAAACCCAUUUCUAAAACCCUCAAAUAUUUCUUAACCUAAAACAAACGUAACAUGCGCUAAAGACGUUGACUCGAGCUGUUGAAGAUUACGAUUAUACCAUUCAAUACCAUCCUAGAAAAGCGAACGUGGUAGCUGACAUGUUGAGUAAAAAUCGUAUGCGAUCACGAUUGUGACGUUGUUAACACAAAAACCCAUUUCGUAUGACUUACAAAGGAUGGAGAUAGAGUUAAAGACUCCAAGAACCUACGUGAAGAUAGCGAAUAUACGAUUAGAACCUGUUAGUUCCCAGAGGCACAAUAGUUAUGUAGAAGAGGGGUGGGGGUUGAAUAGAUAUUUAAAAUUCUUUUUGUUUUACUUUGUUAGUUUUGAUAAUGAUUCAAACACAACAGAAUUAAGAUUUGUUUGAUCUCCCUUUUUAGAUAUAGUGAGUUAAUGAGAGUGAGACAGUUAUAACAGUUAUAGCAGUUAUAGCAAGAAUGCAAUAGACACAACAGUUUUAAGUGUUUCAGAGCACUUAAAGCUCCUAGUCCACUCUUCUACUCCUCGAGUAGGAAAUCCACUAAGGAUGUCUUUUACACUUUCUGAAUCUCACAGAUUCCUUCUAGACCAGCAGUCUAAGAACUUCUUAGUUCACUCUUGAACUCUUCAAGUCCAGUAGACUUGGUUCUUCUCAGUUCACUUUAGAACUCUUCAAGUCCUUCUGACUUAGAACUUCUUACUUCACUUGAUUGGUAGUUGAUGAGUUCUUGAUUGGUGCUACUCAGUUUCCGUUAAGCUCUUGUUCGAAAGAACUGAGUAGCUGAGCAAGCUUUCUCUUUUUUUUUAGAUCGUAGAAUUGAGCGUUGAGUGUUCUUAGUGUUUUGUUUAAUGCUUGCUUGGUUGAAUCAUCUGCAGAUUUUUUGCAUAUAUGUGAUCUUUGAAAUCUAUCCGUUGAAGCAUUAAAUGCGUUUAACAUAUCUGAACUUUGAUGGAGACUUUCUGCAUAGCUUCUGAAUUGCAUCCUGGCCCAUUGACACAGCAGACUGUUUUCUCACCUAACACCUGAAAAGGUGUUUUCCUCUGACCCAUGGUCCUUUCCUUAGCUUCUUCAAUACGUUUCUUUGUUGUAUACUAAGGAUAUUUUUUAUGCCAUUGGGACUGGUGAGUACUUCAACGUUUUUAACCCAUUCCACAUUUGUUAAGAUUUAUCUUUAAAUAAAUGGUCAAGGCUCAAUGCUUCUGACAUAGGCAGAUGAUACUCUAUGAUUCAGAUCGUAGUGUCUGGCCACCUUGGUGCUUGAUCUGAUGCUAGCAAAUGAGAGCACUACGAUUUCUCUUAAGGACUGACACACUACGAUCUUUGAGUUGGCUUUAGUAAACGUUUAGACCACUCUACGAUUUCUGGAGAGGCUCUUCAAGACAGACAUACUACGAUCCUCGAUGCUCUAUGAUUCUCGAUGCUCUACGAUUCUGCCUUGGCUUCUGUAAACUCUUGAUCAGCUCAAUAGACUACGAUUUUAAUGAACCCUAUCUAUUACAUUUCAAGACAUAGAUCAACCUAACAUCUUUGAUCUCUUUAUCUAUACAUUCAUUUACAGAAUGAUAAACAUUAAAAGCUUAGAUCAAGCUAACAAAUUUGAUCUAUCACUAAGUCCUUGUACAUGUAUUCCUUAAAGGACUUUACAUACAAUCAUAAACAUUUACUUUAAACAUCAAAUCAAAAUAUGCAUUCUUCCAACAAUCUCCCCCUAUUUGAUGUUGACAUAACCAAGGAGAUUUGUUGUCAUGAUUAUCAAAUUCUAUAUGCAGUUGCAGCAAAGUAAAUAUGACUUAAUAUUUCAGUGAGUAACUAAAUUUCUAGAGAAUAAGCAUGAAUUUAUUGAUGUUUGAAGAUAGAUAUUACAUUUAAGUUUGACUACAUCAAUAAGAUUUAAAAUUCAACUUAUCUCUAUUUCUUUGGCCUUUUGCCUCGUGGAGGAUUGGCAUACUCCGCAGCUCUUCUUUUCCUGCUGGCUUCGUCUCUCCUGUCUAGAUCUUCCAGCUCGCUUUGACUUAGUCUUGGAUUGUGAUCAUGCCUAUUCAUGAAUGCAUGAUCUCCAAUUGGCAUUCUCAGGCCUGUGGUGGUCACUUCUUGUGUGCUGGAAGUUGGCCCUAGACUCCUUAAAGGUUGAGCCAUGAUAAUUUGUUGCUGAUCAGAUCUUGGAGUUUGAUGGCCAGAUCGUGGAGUCUGAUGGUGAAACUGCCUUAUAGGACUCCUUUAUGAUUGAGCUGAGAAAGUGCCUCUGCCUCUGCCCUUGCCUUGAUCUCCUUUCCCUUUAUUCUCCCCUUUAUGUAAGCAAGGGCUCGAAUGUCGUCAGAUAGGUGAGUUAUGCCUUGAACAAGCUCGUUGAGCUGACUUUGGGAUUGAGCAAUGUCUUCACGGUUGUGACGCCCCCAAAAUAGGUAUACAUCACCCAUCUUGAGUCGCCAAAUACAUGGUACAAAAAAACAAAUACAACUUAAUAAUACAACUGUCGUGUAAAAUACGACAAAACAUAAACUGAGAGUUUUAAUAAGAAUAUUGUCAUCUAGACAAUAUCCACACUCAAUGGAGUCCUCAUUACAUUUAUUGUCAUACUAUUUAACAGAAUAGUGAGGACUACUAAUGCUAUCAUNNNNNNNNNNNNNNNNNNNNNNNNNNNNNNNNNNNNNNNNNNNNNNNNNNNNNNNNNNNNNNNNNNNNNNNNNNNNNNNNNNNNNNNNNNNNNNNNNNNNNNNNNNNNNNNNNNNNNNNNNNNNNNNNNNNNNNNNNNNNNNNNNNNNNNNNNNNNNNNNNNNNNNNNNNNNNNNNNNNNNNNNNNNNNNNNNNNNNNNNNNNNNNNNNNNNNNNNNNNNNNNNNNNNNNNNNNNNNNNNNNNNNNNNNNNNNNNNNNNNNNNNNNNNNNNNNNNNNNNNNNNNNNNNNNNNNNNNNNNNNNNNNNNNNNNNNNNNNNNNNNNNNNNNNNNNNNNNNNNNNNNNNNNNNNNNNNNNNNNNNNNNNNNNNNNNNNNNNNNNNNNNNNNNNNNNNNNNNNNNNNNNNNNNNNNNNNNNNNNNNNNNNNNNNNNNNNNNNNNNNNNNNNNNNNNNNNNNNNNNNNNNNNNNNNNNNNNNNNNNNNNNNNNNNNNNNNNNNNNNNNNNNNNNNNNNNNNNNNNNNNNNNNNNNNNNNNNNNNNNNNNNNNNNNNNNNNNNNNNNNNNNNNNNNNNNNNNNNNNNNNNNNNNNNNNNNNNNNNNNNNNNNNNNNNNNNNNNNNNNNNNNNNNNNNNNNNNNNNNNNNNNNNNNNNNNNNNNNNNNNNNNNNNNNNNNNNNNNNNNNNNNNNNNNNNNNNNNNNNNNNNNNNNNNNNNNNNNNNNNNNNNNNNNNNNNNNNNNNNNNNNNNNNNNNNNNNNNNNNNNNNNNNNNNNNNNNNNNNNNNNNNNNNNNNNNNNNNNNNNNNNNNNNNNNNNNNNNNNNNNNNNNNNNNNNNNNNNNNNNNNNNNNNNNNNNNNNNNNNNNNNNNNNNNNNNNNNNNNNNNNNNNNNNNNNNNNNNNNNNNNNNNNNNNNNNNNNNNNNNNNNNNNNNNNNNNNNNNNNNNNNNNNNNNNNNNNNNNNNNNNNNNNNNNNNNNNNNNNNNNNNNNNNNNNNNNNNNNNNNNNNNNNNNNNNNNNNNNNNNNNNNNNNNNNNNNNNNNNNNNNNNNNNNNNNNNNNNNNNNNNNNNNNNNNNNNNNNNNNNNNNNNNNNNNNNNNNNNNNNNNNNNNNNNNNNNNNNNNNNNNNNNNNNNNNNNNNNNNNNNNNNNNNNNNNNNNNNNNNNNNNNNNNNNNNNNNNNNNNNNNNNNNNNNNNNNNNNNNNNNNNNNNNNNNNNNNNNNNNNNNNNNNNNNNNNNNNNNNNNNNNNNNNNNNNNNNNNNNNNNNNNNNNNNNNNNNNNNNNNNNNNNNNNNNNNNNNNNNNNNNNNNNNNNNNNNNNNNNNNNNNNNNNNNNNNNNNNNNNNNNNNNNNNNNNNNNNNNNNNNNNNNNNNNNNNNNNNNNNNNNNNNNNNNNNNNNNNNNNNNNNNNNNNNNNNNNNNNNNNNNNNNNNNNNNNNNNNNNNNNNNNNNNNNNNNNNNNNNNNNNNNNNNNNNNNNNNNNNNNNNNNNNNNNNNNNNNNNNNNNNNNNNNNNNNUGAAUAGUAACUCGUGAAUAGUACUCCGACACGAAAAGUGUCCCGAAUACCCGAUUGCACAAUAUAACCUCCAGACAUCAAUUAUCAUCGGAAUAGAUUUUGAUUUCUACUAACAUAAAUAAUCCCAACACAAUGAAACUAUCAAAUUCAUCUUUAAUCAACACGAGCUUAUUCAUCAUUAAUAUUAUAACUCACAAUAUUUAACAACCAGGUUGUUCCCAGGAAAGAGGGGGCUUUCCAAUAAGGAUUUCUCCCUAUUGGCGCGCAAUUAGGUGACCAAACCUAUCCUUGACAGAACUUCUAGACAUUGUAAAUAUUGCAAUUUAAUAAUAUGAAUAAUUUAGUCGUCUCAAUUAUUGAUUUAAUAAUCUAACAUAUAAUGCAGAUGAUACUGUGACAAUAAUCGAAUCAAUAAUAUGAGAGAUACGAUGCAGCAAUUACUGUAGCAAUAAUUGAGUAUAACUGAGUGAUUUCUCACGUAAGCAUCAAUAAUCAAUACCGUGUGCUACUAUGCAACCACGCGUAUUACUGUACUUUUACUACCGAGUAGUUCAACAGUAUUAACGGUAAAACUUCCACCGUUAUUUUCAUAAAAAUAUUUUUGUCGUUUUCUCAAUCCGACAAUAAUUCCGUUGCGGGGUCCACCAAUGAUUGUGCCAUCGUACGAAUAUUCCCUGUUAAAACGAAUAUUCCCCGACCAAUCGAAUAUUAUAUAACAACUUGCAUACUUUGCAAAAUUUAUAAAUACUACCCACAACUAUAAUAUUAUCUCAAAUUCACAGCAUAAUAUUCAAAAAAAUAUUUCGAGAAAAUUAAAUCUUUAUUCGUAAAAUUUGGGAUUUUACAACGGUUCUCUUUAAUUAGAGCAUCAGAUCGAGCUUCAUUUUUUUGGAGAAUGGCCAGAACAUUCUCUGUUUGUUGCAUUUGACCCAUGAAGAAUUCUUGAAAUUCUUUCAGUGCAGUUCGUAAAUUCGUGAAACUUUCCCUCAUAAGAUUGUUCUGGGACUCCUAAGUAGACUGUAGGAUAAAAAUAGCAUCCCUGUGUCUUUUAGCAGCUUGAAAAUUAAUUUGAUCCCUUUCAUUUAUGCUCUGAAUCAUCUCCUUUAUGAUUUCCCGAAGCUUUUUUGUGAGCUCAGAGCUUAGGGUGCUUGGGAGGGAGUUGGCAGUAUCAAUUAGAUGAGUCAGCCUCAGUUAAACAAGGUCUGAGUGAACUUCAAGUUCUUCCUGUAUGUCCUUAGUCACUUUUUGGGAUGCUUCAGAUAGUUCUACUUUGGUUGGAAGAUCUGAUAUGAGUUCAAGGAGUUGUGGACUGUUUGGAGGAGGGGCUCUUUUGAAUUGAUCUUGCAGGGUGUAAAGAGCAAGAUCAAGGUUGAAAUAUUCAUUUGAGGACGAGGAGGGAAUAUCUGAUGGAGGGGCUUGUGUUUGGGCUUCUUGAGUAGGUGGCUCUAUGAUUUGAGCGUGUGACUUUACGAUUGGGCUCGAGUCAGUAAUCGUAGAGAUGAGAGGAGAUGGGAUUAAAAUGAAGUUGGGCAUAUUUAGUUCAUCAGCUACAGAAUUUUGAGAUUCUGCAACUGGGAAUUAAUUUAGUGGAUUUAGGAUCACUUCCAACCAGCUUGGGAAUUCAUAAAAUUAACUGAAAAAUGAUGGUGGAUAGUGAUUAACCCUGAAAAAGAUUGGAAUAGAUAGUACCUCAUGCUCAUUCUUUGAAGAAGGGCCAUUUAUGAUUAGCUGUUUGGCAAAGUUGAAGUUGCCUGGAAAUCCAUGAGCUAGCACUAAGAUUGCAGGAUAUGCUUUGAAGCUCCAGAAUAUGUGAUCCCAGGAGUUGAGAAUUUGAGCUCUAUGUAAAGGCAUCAUGGGUAGAGAGGAGAAUAACUGAUUGUAGUUAGCUCUCCUAUACCCAUUAUAGCCCACAUCUAUAAUCUUGAUCUCAUCAUCUUCUUCUUCUCUGUCUUCUUUUGAGGAUUCCCCUACAUCAAUCACCUCCUUGUGACUUUCUUGCUCUGGUUCUCUCUCAUUUUCUUCAGGAGCAGCCUCUUCUGCCAUAAGGAUAUCAUGAGGCUCCCCCUCAACAUGAUCAUCCAUCUGUAUAUCAAGUAGCUCCCCCUCAGCUGAAGCAUUCUCUAGAGUGAGAACUUUAGGUAGCUCCCCCUCAGCUUGAGCAGUGUUCUCUUGUCUUGCUUCGGAUAGCCCUUUCUCAGUGGCUAUCUUUUUGUCUUCUUUUUUAAGUACUCCUUUAUUGACAAGGAUGUACUUUUUGACCAACUUUCUUCUAGGUUUCCUAGGCUGAGCCACAACCUUAGGAAUUUCUUCAACUUUAGCUCUGAACUGUUAAUCACCCAGAGUAUCUGUUGCAGCAACUUCUUUGGGAGAGGCAUCCAGUUUGGUCUCUAAAAUCGGUAGAGACUCUGUGAUCAAGGAGACAGAUGGCCUCUUGGACUUGUGACUGUUUUUAUUCUUCUUCAGCAGCUGAGAGAUGGUAGCUCUGUCUUCAUCUGCCUCAGCCAACUGUUCUUUCUUUCUCAAGAUCCUCAGAGUUUCAAUGUCAGAAAGCUCUUGUGGUAUAUCAGUGGUUGACCCCUGGGGUUCUUCUGCCAUUUGAGCCUUCAGCUUUCUUUUGCCCUUACUUUUUCUAACUAAGGCAAUGGGUUCCUCCUUAUUGGUUUCUUCUGCAUCUUCCUCAGUCUCCUUAACAACAGACAUGUUCCCUGGAAUCCCUGACUCCUUUUCAUCACCAGUCCUACCACUGGACUCAGACAUCAUUCGUACAUUCUCUGCUGGAUUCCUUUUCCAGUUUUCGAACAGUUGCUGGGUUAUUCGUCUGUUCAGAUUGAUGGACUCUCCUUCAUCAUCCCCUAUCUAAUCUCCCAAAGCAGACUGUAGGAUAAUACUUAUGAAUCGUCCGUAGAGCAUCUUUCCAAAGCUCUUUGACUUCUUCGAGCUAAGAAUCCACUUCCCAAUCCAUUCAAGUAGUAGAGCUCCAUAGUUAAGCUGUAUCCCACAACUGAUGGCUGUCAUGAGCUUGAGCUGCACUUCGUUUACAGAGUCAUGACUAGAGCCCUUGCAGCAUAUGCAUUUUCAAACAAUGUCUGUCAGAAAUUCGUACUUCUGAGGUAAUUCUUUCUUCUUGUACCCUUUGACAGUGGGGAACUUUUUGUGGUGCAUUCUCUUAAGUCUUUCAUGGAAAUCGAUGCCAUCUAUGAACGAAAACCCUUUCGAUUUAAAACCUAGGGCUAUAUUUAUAUCCUCAGCCUUGAGCUUGAUUUCCACGUCCCUGACCCUCGUAGUGAUAACGUCGUUCUCGAACACACCAUUUCUGUAGAAUUCCUUUAUAAGCUUAGGUUAGAUCCAAGUGCUCGUACCUAGGGCCUCUUCAAGACCAGCUUUCUUUAUCAGAAACAAAGUUUUGAGAAACUUGGGGUCAGCUAUCUUGAACUCAUCAAAAUAUAAUCUAUAACCAGAGAUGACAUUUGAGGCUGCCAUUGAUUUCUUUGUACUGAGGAUGAUUUUACGAUUUUGAAAGCUAGGGUUUCUGCUAUUGGAGGGAGAGAGAUAUGAGCUUUUUGAACUUUUGAGUUUUCAAAAAGGGUUUUUAAACUAUACUUAUAACUUCCCUCCACACGAUCUGAUUAGAGAGACAUGUGUCGAGUUCUGCUUGGCUCCACGAUUUUAACUUGUGGGAAAAUACUGAUUUGCCCCUUAGCUCAUCCUGAGCUGAUGUGUCCUUUGGGAGGACUACGAUCGUUGAGGUAGUUCUUAUAAUUGUCGAGUAUGCACUACGAUUAUCGAGUCUCCUUUACAAUAUUCGAGUCUGCUCUGCAUUCGUUGAGUUUGUACUGCGAUCGUUGAGUUUUUUCUGAAUCUGCGAAUGUUGUCUGCCCUAGUCCUUGUGAUUGAACUUUUGACUUAGCAUUUCUCUCAAGUUAAGGUAGCUCAGGAAGGGCCAACCUCUUAGAGUGAAUUAAGGGUUAGGUUUGUCCCUGAGGCGCUUGAUAGAGAGAUUGCUUUGAUUUGUUAGAACUUUAUCAUCACAUGAUGCUUCUUUGUUCUGUUGAUGGAGCUCUACGUUCGUGGUCUUUUAUAUCACUACAACUCUACAAUUGUGGACUUUCUUUGGUCAUGUCUACGAUUUCGAAAUUAGCCUUUAUAUCUGUAUGGUUAGCACAAACUAGAGCAUAGAUUUUAUGGUUAUAAAUUUAGCAUUCCUAGUUCACUUAUUAGUUUAUUAAAUCUGGAUUCAUCUAGAGGUUUUGUAAAGACAUCAGUAAGUUGAUUUUCAGUAGGGAUAUAUUGUAAAGAUAUAGUUCUAUUUUGCACAUGAUCCCUAAUGAAAUGAUACCUUAUUUCUAUAUGCUUAGUCCUAGAAUGCAUGACAGGAUUGUGUGUUAUUGCUAUGGAACUUGUGUUAUCAUAGUGAACAGGUAUAAAUUUGAAUUCAAACCCAUAGUCUGCUAGCUAAUUUUUUAUCCAGAGGAUUUGAGCACAGCAGCUGCCAGCAGCAAUGUAUUCAGCUUCUGUAGUUGAAGUAGAUACUGAGUUUUGCUUCUUGCUGAACCAGGACACAAGUCUGUUUCCUAGCAUCUGACAGGUGCCACUGGUACUCUUUCUGUCUAUUUUGUAACCUGCAAAGUCAGCAUCUGUAUAUCCUGUUAAUUCAAAUGAGGAGUCCUUGGGAUACCAAAGCCCCAAGUGAGGUGUGCCCUUAAGGUACAUGAAAAUCCUUUUUACAGCAGUUAAGUGUGGUUCCUUAGGAUUAGUUUGAAAUCUAGCACAUAUGCAUGUUGCAAACAUUAUGUCUGGUCUACUGGAAGUUAGAUAUAAAAGAGAGCCUAUCAUACCUCUGUAUUGAGUUAUAUCAAUACUUUUACCUUUUUCAUCUUUGUCAAGCUUAGUUGCAGGAGCAAUUGGGGUUUUCAUGGGAGAGGCUGAUUCCAUGCCAUACUUCUUGAGUUAAGUAUUUGAUGUACUUAGCUUGGUUUAUGAAGAUUCCUUCAUCAGUCUACUUUACUUGCAGUCCAAGGAAGAAGUUUAGCUCACCCAUCAUGCUCAUUUCAAACUUGCUCUACACAAGCUUGGAAAAUCUCUUGCAUAACUUUUCAUCAGUAGAUCCAAAAAUAAUGUCAUCAACAUAUAUUUGAACUAAUAAGACUUUGUCUUUAUGCUUUUUAAGAAAUAAUGUGGUAUCUACAAUACCUCUAUUGAACCCAUUUUCAAUAAGAAAGUUAGUAAGUGCUUCAUACCAUGCUCUAGGUGCUUGUUUAAGACCAUAUAAGGCUUUGUCUAAUCUAUAAACAUAAUUAGAAAUAGAUGGAUUGAUGAAACCUGGAGGUUGCUCUACAUAGACUUCUUCUUGAAGUUCACCAUUUAGGAAUGCACUUUUGACAUCCAUCUGAAAUACUUUGAACUUCAUAUGAGCAGCAAAGGCAAGAAAUAUUCUGAUGGCUUUUAGUCUGGAAACAGGUGCAAAUGUCUCAUCAUAGUCAAUGCCUUCUUCUUGAGAGUAACCUUUGGCCACCAGUCUUGCUUUAUUCCUGGUUAUUACUCCAUCUUCAUCCAUCUUGUUUCUGAAGACCCACUUGGUGCCAAUGAUAGUAUGAUUAUUUGGUUUUGGAACUAAUCUCUAUACUUUGCUUCUUUCAAACUGAUUUAGUUCUUCCUGCAUGGCUUCUAUCCAGCUGGAGUCUUCCAUAGCAUCUUCUAUCUUCUUGGGUUCCAUCUGUGACAAAAAGAUCAGAUAGAAACACUCAUUUUGGGUGGCAGCUCUUGUUUUGACUCUUGCAUUUGGGUUUCCAAUGAUUAAGUCUUGAGUGUGAUCUCUUGCCCAUCUAUUUCCUAUUGGAACAUCUGUCCUGAUGCCUUCUUGUCUGAGACCUUCGAGAUCAAUUCCAGCUUCUAGAUGUGGGGGUUCGCUGUCUUGCAUUGUUCUCUCUACGAUCUCCUCUUCUUGCUCAACGAUCUCAUUUUUUGGGACUACGAUCGUAGUGUUGAGCUCGACAACCUCGUUCGUAGUGUUUUGAGGCAUUGUUUUGUCUAAGUCUGUCUCAUCAAAGAUGAUGUGAAUUGAGACUUCAACACUCAGUGUCUUUUUGUUUAACACUCUGUAGGCCUUACUAUCGAUGGCAUACCCAAGAAAGAUUCCUUCGUCUGACUUAGGUUAAAACUUUGUCAAAUACUGCUUUCCAUUGUUGAGAAUGUAGUAUGCACAGCCGAAUACAUGGAAGUAGCUGGCACUUGGCUUUCUUCCUUUCCACAGUUCAUAGGGAGUCUUUUUAAUCGUAGAGUGUAUCAGUGAUAUGUUCUGAGUGUAGCAUGCAGUGUUGACAGCUUCUGCCCAGAAGUACUCAGGCAGAUGGAUUGCUGCUAGUAGAGUUCUUCCAGCCUCUAUUAGCGUCCUGUUCUUUCUUUCAGCUACUCCAUUUUGUUGAGGAGUUCGUGGUGCUGAGAAGUUGUGACUGAUGCCAUUGUCUGUGCAGAAUUGGUCCAUUUCGAAGAAGUCAAAUUCUCUGCCAUGAUCACUCCUUAUAGCCUUAAUUUUCUCCUCUUUCUCAUUUAUUACUAGUCUGAACAUCUUGAUCAGUUGAGAGCUUAUUUUUAUCUUUCAAGGUCAGAAAGAAUACCCAUGUGAAUCUGGUGUAAUCGUCCACUACGACUAGUGAGUAUCUCUUCCCUCCAAGGCUCGUUGUUAGAAUUGGCCCAAAUAGAUCAAUUUGAAGCAGCUAUAGGGGCUUGUCAAUUGAGUUGGCAGUUUUGCUCUUGAAUGAGCUUCUGGUUUGCUUUCCAAGCUGACAGGCAUUGCAUGGCCUUUCUUUGACGAAGUUGAACUUGGGUAAGCCUGCAACUAGAUCUUUUGAGGCCAAUUUGGACAUGUUCUUGAAGUUGAGAUGAGACAGUCUCCUAUGCCAUAGCCAGCUCAUUUUUUCAGAUGCUUUAACUAGAAAGCAUAUUGUCUCGUCUGAGCUUAGUUGUCUAAGAUUUACUGUGUAGACAUUUCCUUCUCUUGUUCCAGUUAGCUUUAUGGCAGAUGUCUUCAGAUCUCUGACUUGACAUUGAUUAUUGAGGAAUGUUACUUGAUGACCCUUGUCGCAGAGUUGACUUAUGCUCAGAAGAUUGUGUUGUAGUCCUUCCACAUAGGCUACUUUACGGAAAGACACUGCACCAUUUCCAGCUGAGCCAUAUCCUCUUGUCUUGCUAGAGCCAUUAUCUCCAAAGAUGACUGCAGGACCCUCCUUCUCUAUAUAGUUAGACAGAAGGGCUUUGUUCCCUAUCAUGUGCCUUGAGCAUCCACUAUCCAGAUACUAGGUUGUGAUCGUGGAGCUUGGUCCCUGUGAUAAGAUGAAACUCUCAUUUUGGUACCCAUACUUGCAUGGGUCCUACUUUGUUAGUACCCUUAAGAACCCAAAUCUGCUUGAUUUUGGGUUUCACAUGAGUAAGAUUAUAAUAGCACAUUGCAGCCUUGUGACCAACCUUAUUGCACACAAAACAUCUAAUAUGAUGCAUGCUUGUGUGUGUGAGAGGAUUCUUCCUCCAUUUGAACUUUUGUGGAUCUUUAAUCAUCUUUCUGUUAAACUGAUUCUCCUUUUUCCAUGUGUCUUUGUGUUUCAUGAUUUGUGAGGAGUGUGCCUUACCUCUAUUAUUCCUUCCUAGUUGGUUCGUGGAGUUGAUUUUACUAGACUCUACGAUCCGUCGAGGUUGGUGAGUAGUGGCUGGGUUACUCUUCUCUUUUCUGAAACCCAGGCCAGCAUGAGAUCCUUUACUCCUUGGAAUGUGGAUUGAAUCAGUAGAGCAGAGUUGGACUGGCUCAUCCUUCUGUGAGGAUUUCAUAAAUAUAAUGCCUCUACUAAAACUUGAAGCAUUACUAGUGCUAGUUUCCUUUACCUUUUCCACACAUGGCUCUGAGGUGGAUUCCCCAAAGCCUAAACAUGUUCUGUCAGUGACACUUCUCUGACUAGAGAUCAGGGAGUCCAUGGAUGAAGAGGAUUUAUUCCAUGUAGAGAUUGUCUUCUCUAGUUCCUCAAUUUUAGAGGUUAAACUUGACUCUCUUUGUGCAUUGAGCUCAUUGGUCUGUUUUAAGAGCUUAUUCUCAGCUUCAAACUUGGAGAACGAUUCAGUACUUAGAAGGGUUGUUUCCAGUUCUUCUUGAACUUUUUCUUUCUCCUUUUGAAGAAGUGAAUAGUCCUUAGACAGAACUCUAAACCAUUUCAUGUAUUGAUGCAGAUCAGAUGUUAUGCCAUGCAGUGCAGUUCUUAAAUCAUCAAUGUCUACAUCAGGAGAGUUGAAGACAAAUACCACAUCUAUAUUUACUUCAUGUAUGUUGGAGUUCUUUUUGUCCUUUGUAUGCUUGGCCAUCAGGCAAAGAUUUUCCAUUUGAGGAUCUUCAUCAUCUCCAGAUUCGGGAGUUGAAUCAUUGUCUGAGUCACUCCACGAUCCUCCAGCUACAAGGCCUUUAUGUCUCUUCUGAGGUCUUUUGUUGCCUUUGAAUUCCUUCUUUGGAUGUGAUUCCUUCUUUGGUUCUUCUAUGAGAGGUUUGUUGCAGUUAGCAAUGAAAUGGCCAGGCUUCUUCCAAUUGUAGCAUAGAUCAUUUAUCUGCUCCUGGCUGCUGUAGUUAUUGACUUUCUUUGGCUUGCUGAUUUUGCCUUGAUGCAUGAACCUUCUGAGUCUUUUCACCAGCAUUGCAAAGUCUUCAUCGUCAUCUUCAUCAUAGUCAGAGUCAACUUUAGUGUUGACUUUGGAGGUUUUUUUAGUUGUUUUGAGAGCAACACCUUUAUCCUUCUUUCUUCCUUUAGAUAGAGUUUCUGCUCAUUGAGUCAGCUCCAGUUCGUAUGUAAGAAGGUUGCUAUAUAACUGUUGAACAAUCAUUUCAUGUAGAUUCUUUGACUCUCUAAUGGCAGUGGUUUUGGCAUCCCACUUUCUUGGUAAGGCUCUCAUGAAAUUUAUGAUUAGAUCUUUGUUUGGAUAGAUCUUUCCAUAAGCUAGAAGAGAGUUGAGCAGAACAUUAAAUCUCUCGUAGGUGGCAGUGACGUUUUCUCAUUUAACGUGUGCAAACAUCUCAUAUUGCUGAGUCAAGAGAGAUUGUUUGUUUUCUCUAACUUCUUUUGUUCCUUCAUGCAUGAUGAGCAAUGCUUCCCAAACCUCCUUUGUUGUUCUGCUAUUGACCACAUUCUCGAACAGAUCAUCUUCUAAGGAUUGGAACAAAAUAUUCUUGGCCUUUUUGUCGAGUUGAACAACUCUCUUUUCGUUGCAUGUCCUUUCUUCUUUGACCUUGAUUUGUAUUCUAUUUGGGUCGUCUGGAGUUGGUGCAAGCUUUGUAGGAACGUGGGGCCCAUUCUGAACAGUUUCAAAUAGAUCUUCAUCUAUUCAAUCCAUGUAUGCUUGCAUUCGAACUUUCAAGUUGGAGAAUUUGUCUUUGUUGCACAUAGGUGGCUUGCUGCCUCCUCCAGUCUUUGAUUCGCUUAGUAAGUGUGCCAUUGGAUCUACUUAAUCUUUGUAGGCUAUAGAAUAGAACCUUCUCUGAUACCAAUUGUUAGUUUCUGGAGGCACAAUAGUUAUCUAGAAGGGGGGUUAAAUAGAUAUUUAAAAUUCUUUUUGUUUUACUUUGUUAGUUUUGAUAAUGAUUCAAACACAGCGGAAUUAAUAUUUGUUUGAUCUCCCUUUUUAGAUAUAGUGAGUUAAUGAGAGUGAGGCAGUUAUAAUAGUUAUAGCAAGAAUGCAAUAGACAUAGCAGUUUUAAGUGGUUCAGAGCACUUAAAGCUCCUAGUCCACUCUUCUACUCCUCGAGUAGGAAAUCCACUAAGGAUGUCUUUUACACUUUCUGAAUCUCACAGAUUUCUUCUAGACCAGUAGUCUAGGAACUUCUUAGUUCACCCUUGAACUCUUCAAGUCUAGCAGACUUAGUUCUUCUCAGUUCACUUUAGAACUCUUCAAGUCCUUCUGACUUGGAACUUCUUACUUCACUUGAUUGGUAGUUGAUGAGUUCUUGAUUGGUGCUACUCAGUUGCCGUUAAGCUCUUGUUCGAAAGAACUGAGUAGCUGAGCAAGCUUUCUCUUUUUCUUAGAUCGUAGAGUUGAGCAUUGAGUGUUCUUAGCAUUUUGUUCAAUGCUUGCUUGGUUGAAUCAUCUGCAGAUGUUUUGCAUAUAUGUGAACCUUGAAAUCUAUCCGUUGAAGCAUUAAAUGCGUUUGACAUUUCUGAACUUUAAUGGAAACUUUUUUGCAUAUCUUCUGAAUUGCAUUCUGGCCCACUGACACAGUAGACUGCUUUCUCAUGUACACCUAAAAAGGUGUUUUCCUCUGACCCAUGGUCCUUUCCUGAGCUUCUUUAAUACGUUUCUUUGUUGUAUACUAAGGAUAUUUUUUAUGCCAUUGGGACUGGUGAGUACUUCAACGUUUGUAACCCAUUCCACAUUUGUUAAGAUUUAUCUUUAAACAAAUGGUCAAGGCUCAAUGCUUCUGACAGAGGCAGAUGAUACUCUACGAUUCAAAUCGUGGUGUCUUGCCACCUUGGUGCUUGAUCCGAUGUUAGCAAACGAGAACACUAUGAUUUCUCUUAAGGACUGGCACACUAUGAUCUUCACUUGCUUGUCUUGUAGACUGUACGUUUCCGAGAGCACACUACGAUCUCUGAGUUUUCUUUGGCAAAGGUUUGGACCACUCUACGAUUUCUGGAGAGGCCCUUCAAGGCAGAAAUACUAUGAUCCUCGAUGCUCUACGAUUCUACCUUGGCUUCUGCAAACUCUUGAUCAGCUCAAUAGACUACGAUUUUAUUGAAGCCUAUCUAGUACAUUUCAAGACAUAGAUCAACCUAACAUCUUUGAUCUCUUUAUCUAUACAUUCAUUUACAGAAUGAUAAACAUUAAAAGCUUAGAUCAACCUAACAAAUUUGAUCUAUCACUAAGUCCUUGUAUAUGUAUUCCUUGAAGGACUUUACAUACAAUCAUGAGCAUUUACUUUAAACAUCAAAUCAAAAUAUGCACUCUUCCAACAGAACCAACUUUAAUUGAUAAAGUUAAAGUCGCUCAAGCUACAAACUCAGACCUAAUGAAUGUGAAGAAGAAGGUUCAAGAAGGCGUUAUUCUAGAAGCAAGAAUCGACGAAGAAAGGAAAUCUCAAACCUCGAUUUUAUUGGUCUAUUUGAAAUCCUCGAUCGAGUAGGAACUGUGGCCUAUAGACUCGCCUUACCGCUAAGUAUGUCGCGUGUUCAUAAUAUUUUUUUCACGUAUCGAUGUUACGUAAAUAUGUGGACGACCCGAACCACAUUAUUAAAUUAGGACUAGACGAGAUAGCAAAAGAUUUAACGUAUGAGGUGAUACCUGUUAAAAUCUUGGAUAAGAAGAAAUAUAUUCUACGCUCAAAGGUUAUACCUCAAGAGUUAGAAUCUGAAAUGAAAACAAGACAUCGUCACCUCUUCGAUAUACCAGUUACGUACACCAAUUUCGAGGACGAAAUUUCAUAAGAAGGGGAGGUUGUAAGACACCAAAUUUUAUAAAUAAAGAUUAAUUUUUUCAAAAUAUUUUUUUUGAAUAUUAAGUUUGGAUUUGAUAUAAUGUUAUAGUUGUGGGUAAUAUUUAUAAAUUGUGCAAAGUAAGAAAGUGGUUAUAAAAUAUUUGAUUAGCCGGGGAAUAUUCAUUUUAACAGGGAAUAUUCGUACGACUACGCAAUCAUUGGUGGACCCCACAACGGAAUUACUGUCGGAGUUAGAAAAUGACAGAAAUGUCUUUUUAUAUAUAACGGCGAAAGGUUUACCGUUAAACUAUUUAAAUACCUGAUGAUAAAAGUACAGUAAUACGCGUGGUUGCAUAGUAGCAUACGGUAUUGAUUAUUCAUGCUUAUGUGAGAAGCCACUCAGUUUACUCAAUUAUUGCUACAGUAAUUAUUGCAUAGUAUCUCACAUUAUUUGAUUCAAUUAUUGUGACAGUAUCAUCUGCAUAAUAUUUUAUAUUAUUAAAUCAAUAAUUGAGACAACAAAGUUAUUCAUAUUAUUAUUUACAAUAUUAACGAUGUCUAGAAAGUUCUGUCGAGGAGAGGUUUGGUCACCUAAUUGCGUGCCAAUAGGGAAAAAUCCUUAUCGAAAAGCCCCCUCUUUCCUGUGAAUGAUCUGGUUGUUAAAUAUUGUGAGUUAUAAUAUUAAUGAUGAAUAAUUGUUGAAAUAUUAAAAAUGUGUUUAUUAAAGAUAAAGGAUUUAUGGUAAAUAUUUAUUCAAUUUUUUUGAUAUAAAUAUAGAGAUUUGUUAUGAGGCGUUUGUUGUAAGUUUGACUUUAGUAUUUCAUGGGAAGAUUUACUAAUUUUAUGGACCGUCGGUGGUGGUUUUAAUAAUAAAUCAAUCUGGACCAUUGAUGGUGGUUUUAAUAGUAAAUUAAUCUGGACCGUCGAUGGUGGUUUUAAUAGUAAAUCAAUCUGGACCGUCGAUGGUGGUUUUAAAUAUAAAUAAAUCUGGACCGUCGGUAGUGGUUUUCAAAGUAAAUCAAUCUGGACCGUCGAUGGUGGUUUUAAAAGUAAAUCAAUCUAGACCGUCGAUUGUGAUUUUAAUAGUAAUCAAUCUGGACCGUCCAUGAAUUAGUUACUAUUUAGUCCAUUUUCCUAUAAAUAGAAGCUUAAUUCUUCUUUCAUUCUCACCAAUUCACUGAGACUCACAAGAGAAACUAUAGAGAGCAAGAAGAAGAGUAUUCUGCUACUUCACUAUUGCAGUAUCCAGUCCUCUACUAAGGUAAGAGAUAUUAUUUGUUGUAUUCGUAAGGGAUGUUAUUUCUUUUGUAUUAGUAAGUUGUAUUAUUUCUUUCGUAUUCAUAAGGAAUACUAUUUUUCGUAUUCAUCCUUUAAUAUGUCGGAAUAACCUGUCUACGCGGAUUACGUACCGUAUGACAGAUGAAAAUCUAUUUGCAAUUUUAUAUGUUAUUUCAUUUCAUAUUCUUAAAUCUAAACUUACUAUGGUAAGUAUUGCUUCUAUAAUCCUUGAAAUUAGUGGAAUAUCCUUGAGUUUUGCGCUUCCUCCAGUAUUGUUUCAUUGGAAUAUUGAUCUGAACUUUCUUAUUAAAUAUCAAUAUUUUUACCCGGGUUACUAUUCAUCCGAUUACUAUUCACUAGAAUAUUAUUCAUUAGGGUAUUCGGGGCACUUUUCAUGCCGGAGUACUAUUCACGAGUUACUAUUCACAGGUUACUAUUCACUCAAAUAUUAUUCACUCAGGUAUUCGGGACACCUUUUAUGCCGGGGUACUAAUCCAGAAGUACUAUUCAUAAGGUACUAUUCACGGUGUACUAUUUACCAAAAAAAUUAUUUUUUUUUUGUCCAAAUUAUUUUUGAUACAUGGAUAUUAUUCUUGAAUCUUACUCUACAAAGCAGUAUCAUGUUGACAAUUUGGACAUUAUUGAAUUCUGGAUAAAUUAAAUUAUAAGUCUUUAAAAUUUAUCCUUUUCUUUCUUUUAAUUGAAUUUUUAUAUCAUUAUCAUCAUCCUCAUGCUUAUAUUGUGAUGAAAGUCAUCUUUGGCUUACGUACAUAGAUGGACUGUUGAUUGGUAUGAUUAUGACCGGAGAUCAUUCGGUAUAAUCAUAACCCGUAAUGUUACAAAUGAUGUGGUAAAAGUCCUCAUUGGCCUAUAGUGCAUUGAUGGAUAGUUGUUGGUAUGAUUAUAACCAGGGAUUAUUCGGUAUAAUCAUGACCAUUGAUGAUUACAUGAAUAUCCUUGGCCCGUAGUGUAGGGAUGAUUCGAUGAUGUAGUUUAUUUUUUAAGCUGAGUCUCAGCGAUAAAGUUGAUGAAAAACUUUUUAAAUCAUAGAAGAUAGUAGAUAUCAUGUUUUACUUGACUCUUCUAAUGGAUUGUUUGUUCCGCUAUAGUUAAACUUGUUAUCUAUUAUAUUCCAUUAGUUUAACAUUGUUGAAGGCGAACGAUAACUUAUUCUGCAUUAUCUUAGUCAUAAUAUUUCUUACUGGGCUAGUUGAUCUCAUCCUUUUACUUUCAUUGUUCUCUUCAGGAAAUAAGAACGUAGUCGGGACUAGUCGAGGAACGGAGUGAUGGUCCGAGAUGGUGUUAUAGUAGUCCUCACUAUUCUAUAAAAUAGUGUGAUAAUAAAUGUAAUGAGGACUCCAUUUGAGUUUGGAUAUUGUCUAGAAGACAAUAUUCGUGUAAAAACUCUCAGUUCAUGUUAUAUAAUUAAGUUUGUAUUUGUAUUCAGUACCAUGUAUUUGGUGACCCAAGAUGGGUGAUAUAUACUUAUUUUGGGGGCGUCACAGUUGGUAUCAAAUCUUAGGGAUAUGUUCCCUAGCUGAGAUGUGAGAAUAGAACUAAGAGGGGAGAGGCGGGUAAAUCCUUCGCUAGUAUGACCUACCUAAGUUUAUUUGUUAUUUAAUUGGUUAGUUAGAGUAUAGGGAUAAUAUGUGGCAUGUCAAUUAACCCUUGUUUUAUGACAGUGUUUGAGAAUGACAUCUGAAAAUGUUGAGAUAAGCAAUGAAGCACAUGAGACCGUUAAGUCACCGACGAUCAAUAACCAGGAUAAUGUGCAUCAGGAAGGCAAUAAUCCUCGUGUAAACAAUAACACCGACCCAAUGACGAACGAUGAUAUGUUUAGGAACUUUUUAGAAUUUAUGCAAAACCAAACGAGAGACUCCUGUUUAAAAUGCAGGUGUAAACACUUGCAACUCACGGCUGGUCACCGCUAAGCAGUUCAAGGAGCUGGGACCGCCAGAGUUUUUGGGAAAGCCAGAACCACUUAAGGCGUAGACGUGGAUAAAGAAGAUCACCAAGAUAUUUGAUGUCUUAGAAUGCUCCGAGGAGCAAAAGGUUCCCUUCGCCACCUUUAUGUUGCGUGAAGAGGCAGAUUACUGGUGGGAGUCUGUAAAACAUACUCAACGUGCCACACUGAAGAUGUCUUGGGAGAAGUUCCAAGAACUGUUCAACAACAAGUACUUUCCCAAAAGUAUUCGUCACAUGAAGGAGGUAGAGUUCAUCAAGUUAGAGCAAAAUAAUAUGACCGUGUCGCAGUAUGAGGCUAAGUUUGCAGAGUUAUCCCGGUUUGCAUCCCAUUUGGUCGAUAAUGAGGAGCGAAUGACGCGAAUGUUUCUAAGAGGUUUGAAACUCAAAAUACGUCAAUACCUCAUUUCUCACAAACUUUGUUUAUAUUCCGAUAUUGUGAAUAAGGCUCAGUUAUUAGAACGCGAUUAUGAGUCAGCCCAACUAAAAGAUUACGACCAACAACACGAUAAUAAUCGUACCGGUGGCAACGGCCAUCGGAACAACGUAACCAUCGUGGAGGAAAUUAUCAUGCCAAUAAUGGUAACCACUUCAGUGAUAAUCAUGGCCAAGAUAAUAGGAAAGGUGAACUAAGUUAGAAUUUCAAGAAGAGAAGGUUCAACAAUGAUGGAAAGACAGCAACACCAGCACCCGUUUUCAAGGAAGGAGAACGACCACCGAUCGUAUGCUUUAAAUGCGGAGGGGAGGGACACAUCAAUCCAAACUGCAUGAUGCAGUCCAAAGCGUGUUACAAUUAUGAAAGAGAAGGUCACCUAGCCCAAUUUUUGUGUCCAGCGAAGUCAAGUCCAGCUGAGAUGGAGGCACCAAAGGCCGUCCCAGACAAGACAAAACCAGUAGUUCAAGGGAGAGCAUUUGUCGUGACCUCCUAAAAAGCAAGGAACCCGAACGAAGUCAUCACGGGUAAGCUAAUCAUAAACUCUUGCGAAGUCUAUACCUUAUUUGAUACCGGUUCUAUCCAUUAUUUUAACAUUAUUGAAGGCUAACGAUAACUUAUUCUGCAUUAUCUUAGUCAUAAUAUUUCUUACUGGGCUAGUUGAGCUCACCCUUUUGCUUUCAUUGUUCUCUUCAGGAAAUGAGAACGUAGCCGGGACUAGUCGAAGAACAGAGUGAUGGUCCAAGAUGGUGUUAUAGUAGUUCUCACUAUUCUAUAAAAUAGUGUGAUAAUAAAUGUAAUGAGGACUCCAUUUGAGUUUGGAUAUUGUCUAGAAGACAAUAUUCGUGUAAAAACUCUCAGCUCAAGUUGUAUAAUUAAGUUUGUAUUUGUAUUCAGUACCAUGUAUUUGGCAACCCAAGAUGGGUGAUGUAAAGCUAUUUUGGAGGCGUCACAUUUAGAGUUUAAGGAAACUUUGAGUGUAGAAAAUAAUGAAAGUUUUCUUCAAGAAUAUAUCAAAUAUACCAAUCGGAAUUGCUCUCUUUUUGAGGUAAGGGGUAUUAUUUAUUUCAUAUUCACUUACGAUAUUAUUUUUUGUAUUCGUAAGAAAUUUUAUUUCGUUCAAUAUUCGCAAGAAAUAUUAUCUUCAUUUAAUAUUCGUAAGGAAUAUUAUCUUCGUUCAAUAUUCAUAAAGAAUAUUAUUUUUCGUUCAACAGUUGUAAGGGAUAUUAUUUUUUUUCAGUAUUCGUAAGAAAUAAUAUUUUCUUCCAUACUCUGUAGUAUGUAAGUAAUAUUAUUUUAUUUUAAAUUUUGAAUUCUACACUCGUUUUGUUAAAAUUUUGGCUUCUAUACUUCAUGAAAUUAGUAGAAUAUCCUUAAAAUUUGCGCUUCAUCUAGUAUCUUUUUAUGAAAAUAUUAUUCUGAGCAUUCUUGAUAAGUUUUAAUUUUUUCAUGCCAAAGUACUAUUCACGGGAUACUAUUCCCAAAUUACUAUUCAUGGAGUACUAUUUACUCGGGUAUUAUUCACCCGAGGUACUAUUCAUGACAAAAAUUAAUUUCUUUUCGAUCCAAAUCAUUUUUGAUACAAUAUUAUUCUUGAAUUUUACUCCACAAAGCAGUAUAAUGUUGAAAAUUUGGAUAUUAUUGAAUUCUGGAUAGAUUAAAUUGUUAAAGUCUUUAAUAUUUAUCCUUGAUCUCGUUUGAUUAAAUUUUUAUAUCAUUGUCAUCAUCCUCAUGCUUAUAUUAUGAUGAAAGUCAUCUGUGACCGUAGUGCAUAGAUGGACUUAGUAUGAUUAUGACCAAAGAUUAUUCGGUAUAAUCAUGACCGUAAUGUUAUAAAAGAUGUGAUAAAAGUCCUCAUUGACCCGUAGUGCAUUGAUGAACAGUUUUUGGUAUGAUUAUGACCAUGAGUUCUCUUCGGUCAAGGGUGCAAAGAUGAAUUAUUUUAUGGCGUGAUCAUGACCGUUGAUGAAAACACGAAUAUUCUUGGCCCGUAGUGCAUGGAUAAUUCGUGGUCGUGAUACUAAUGAAUAUCCUUGGCCCGUAGUGUGACGCCCCCAAAACAGGUAUACAUCACCCAUCUUGAGUCGCCAAAUACAUGGUACAUAAAUCAAAUACAACUUAAUUAUACAACUGUCGUGUAAAAUACGACAAAACAUAAACUGAGAGUUUAAUCAAGAAUAUUUCCUUCUAGACAAUAUCCACUCUCAAAGGAGUCCUCAUAGACAGUAUACAAACUCAAAUUCAGUCCUCAUUACAUUUAUUAUCACACUAUUUAACAGAAUAGUGAGGACUACUAAUGCUAUCAUCUGGACUGUCACUCCAUUUCCUGAAUUAUCCCAGCUAUAUUCUCAUUUCCUGAAGAGAACGGUGAAAGAAAGGGGUGAGCUCAACUAGCCCAGUAAGAAAUAUUAUGACUAAGAUAAUACAGAAUAAAUUAUCAUUAGUCUUCAACAAUGUUAAACUGAUAAAAUACAAUAGACAUCAAGUUUAACUCCAAAAAUUCCCAAAUCUUGGCAGAAUCUUACACAUGUUAACGUGAGCUUCCAGUUUAAAUUUCAUGAUCAUCGGAGUUAUAGAACUCCGGUUAUAGCGUUUUUCGUCAAAAAAAUCUAAAUAUUGAAAUGGUCAUAACUUGCUCAUUUUAAGUUGAAAUGAGCUCAUUUUUGGACAGGAGGUACUUUAUACCAUAUAAUUUCAUGUCCCAAAAGGCCGGAAUUUUUCUCACAAAUUAAGUGGCCGAAAAUGCCCUUUUAAAAAUCUGGGCAGUAGCUUUUUCGAAAUUGGCAAUUUUUGACUCCUUCGCUAAAAUCAGUCCACACGAAAAUCUACAAUACCUUUUCCAGUGAUUCCACUUAGAUAAGUUAGAAAACUCAUAGAUCUAACUCUAGAACUUGACCACACUCAAAAAUUCGAAAUAUAACCGAAGAUAUGGUCAAUUGAAUUUCAUGUUCCAUUUUCACCAAAAUCUGAUUUUCAACCCUUUGUGGUUUUCAAGAAACUUUCAUGUUUUCACAUAAUAACCAACAUAACUCAUCAUGACAAUGACAUAAUAAUUCAAUAAAAAAAGUUCAAGAAUAAAUUUUAAAGAUUUAUAAGUUAUUUUAUCCUAAACUCAAUAACGUCCAAAUUGUCAACAUGAUACUGCUUUGUAGAGUAAAAUUAAAGAAUGCCUAGAAGAAUAUUUCCAUGAAAAGAUAUAGGAUGAAGCGCAAAUAUGCAUGAUAUUCUACUAAUUUCAUGGAGUAUAUGUGACGCCCAAAAAAUAGGUAUACAUCACCCAUUCUGAGUCGUCAAUAACAUGGUACAGAAAUAACUACAACUUUAUUAAUACAACCCAUAAACUGUGAGUUUAAAUACAAAUAUUGUCAUCUAGACAAUAUACAUACCCAACUAAGUCCUCAUUACAAUUAUUGAUAUAAUACUUUACAAAAAUGGUGAGGACUACUAAAACAAUUUCCUAGAACCUUCAUUCCGUACCCCGACUAGUACUCGCUACAUUCUCGCCUCCUGAGAAGAAAA